AAUUAUAAAGCCUUUUGGAAAGCCUAAGAGAGCGCUUUCAUAAGCGCCCUCUUAGCGCCCCUUUAGAGGGUGCUUUUUUCCACAAGCGCCCUCUAAGUCCCCUUUAGUAAACAUUAAAUUAUAACAUACUGCGCGUUUUGUUAUUUCACUCUCUGUUAUUUCGUUCUUUUUCACGUUAGGUUCUCACUGCUACGAUUUCGCUACUUCUAAGGCGUUCUCGCUUCCACCUCUGUUAGAUCUACGACGUUUCCUNNNNNNNNNNNNNNNNNNNNNNNNNNNNNNNNNNNNNNNNNNNNNNNNNNNNNNNNNNNNNNNNNNNNNNNNNNNNNNNNNNNNNNNNNNNNNNNNNNNNNNNNNNNNNNNNNNNNNNNNNNNNNNNNNNNNNNNNNNNNNNNNNNNNNNNNNNNNNNNNNNNNNNNNNNNNNNNNNNNNNNNNNNNNNNNNNNNNNNNNNNNNNNNNNNNNNNNNNNNNNNNNNNNNNNNNNNNNNNNNNNNNNNNNNNNNNNNNNNNNNNNNNNNNNNNNNNNNNNNNNNNNNNNNNNNNNNNNNNNNNNNNNNNNNNNNNNNNNNNNNNNNNNNNNNNNNNNNNNNNNNNNNNNNNNNNNNNNNNNNNNNNNNNNNNNNNNNNNNNNNNNNNNNNNNNNNNNNNNNNNNNNNNNNNNNNNNNNNNNNNNNNNNNNNNNNNNNNNNNNNNNNNNNNNNNNNNNNNNNNNNNNNNNNNNNNNNNNNNNNNNNNNNNNNNNNNNNNNNNNNNNNNNNNNNNNNNNNNNNNNNNNNNNNNNNNNNNNNNNNNNNNNNNNNNNNNNNNNNNNNNNNNNNNNNNNNNNNNNNNNNNNNNNNNNNNNNNNNNNNNNNNNNNNNNNNNNNNNNNNNNNNNNNNNNNNNNNNNNNNNNNNNNNNNNNNNNNNNNNNNNNNNNNNNNNNNNNNNNNNNNNNNNNNNNNNNNNNNNNNNNNNNNNNNNNNNNNNNNNNNNNNNNNNNNNNNNNNNNNNNNNNNNNNNNNNNNNNNNNNNNNNNNNNNNNNNNNNNNNNNNNNNNNNNNNNNNNNNNNNNNNNNNNNNNNNNNNNNNNNNNNNNNNNNNNNNNNNNNNNNNNNNNNNNNNNNNNNNNNNNNNNNNNNNNNNNNNNNNNNNNNNNNNNNNNNNNNNNNNNNNNNNNNNNNNNNNNNNNNNNNNNNNNNNNNNNNNNNNNNNNNNNNNNNNNNNNNNNNNNNNNNNNNNNNNNNNNNNNNNNNNNNNNNNNNNNNNNNNNNNNNNNNNNNNNNNNNNNNNNNNNNNNNNNNNNNNNNNNNNNNNNNNNNNNNNNNNNNNNNNNNNNNNNNNNNNNNNNNNNNNNNNNNNNNNNNNNNNNNNNNNNNNNNNNNNNNNNNNNNNNNNNNNNNNNNNNNNNNNNNNNNNNNNNNNNNNNNNNNNNNNNNNNNNNNNNNNNNNNNNNNNNNNNNNNNNNNNNNNNNNNNNNNNNNNNNNNNNNNNNNNNNNNNNNNNNNNNNNNNNNNNNNNNNNNNNNNNNNNNNNNNNNNNNNNNNNNNNNNNNNNNNNNNNNNNNNNNNNNNNNNNNNNNNNNNNNNNNNNNNNNNNNNNNNNNNNNNNNNNNNNNNNNNNNNNNNNNNNNNNNNNNNNNNNNNNNNNNNNNNNNNNNNNNNNNNNNNNNNNNNNNNNNNNNNNNNNNNNNNNNNNNNNNNNNNNNNNNNNNNNNNNNNNNNNNNNNNNNNNNNNNNNNNNNNNNNNNNNNNNNNNNNNNNNNNNNNNNNNNNNNNNNNNNNNNNNNNNNNNNNNNNNNNNNNNNNNNNNNNNNNNNNNNNNNNNNNNNNNNNNNNNNNNNNNNNNNNNNNNNNNNNNNNNNNNNNNNNNNNNNNNNNNNNNNNNNNNNNNNNNNNNNNNNNNNNNNNNNNNNNNNNNNNNNNNNNNNNNNNNNNNNNNNNNNNNNNNNNNNNNNNNNNNNNNNNNNNNNNNNNNNNNNNNNNNNNNNNNNNNNNNNNNNNNNNNNNNNNNNNNNNNNNNNNNNNNNNNNNNNNNNUCAUUUGUUGUGCUCUUUGGUCUGCUUAAAUGAGAAAAUACAAACAGUGUGAUUUUCUAAUUCUGCAGCAUACUUGCAUUUUUGUUGUAUUGAUUGAUUUAAACAAAUAAAGAAGAGAGUGGUUAUUUAUACAUUUCAAUUAGGUAGCCAUGUGAGUUUCGGUCAUGACAUGUUCAAAUAGCCAGAGGAUCAUAUAAACAUAAGCAUUAUAGUAUUGUAUUUUAAUAUUAUAAAGCAGUACAAAGAACCUUUAGUUGCUCUUGUGAAUUAUAAACAAGCAGUUGUAUGCAGUUUUCUUCUUGGUUACCUCUUGUGGCUACAACAUACCUGAAUGAGAAUAUGGUCACAGAGAAUGUGAUGCAUGUAAUGUUAUAAUAACCACCCACUUUUAGAUGGCGCUUUCCAAACUAAGCGCUCUCUAAACCUUUAAUUUCACAUUUAGAGGGACGCUUUCCAGAUAAAAAGAGCUCCUUUGUAACCCGUUAACAGUGUUUCCACUUUAUGAGGGCGCUUCCGUAAAGCCCGCCCGUCUAAACCCUUUAAAGUUUCCACUUUAGAGGGCGCUUUCUUUAAAAAGCGCCCUCUAAAGUGGCCCUUAAAGGGCUUAAAGAGCCACUUUAGAGAGCGCUUUCACCAGGAAAAAAAGCGAUGUCUUUACCUAUGCCAGCGUCAGAUUAGAGGGCGCUUUAAAGCGCUGUUAUAGGCCAAAAAAAGCGUCCUCUUUUCCCUUAUUUGGCGUAGUGGUCGUAGAUCAUCAACAAUGAUGCUUUAAGAUGCUUAAGAGAUUGUGGAAAGAAUGAAAAUUGAAUUAUAUUUUUUCCAGUGUACUUUAUUUUGAGGGAUGUGGUACAAUAUUGUUAAUUGCCUAGACAUCUGUAAUUACUGUUCUAUUGGCUUAAGGGGUCACAUUUUUUUUUGUGUCAUCUCUUAUAUAACUGAUUUCUUAUAAAAAGAACAAAGUAAGAGAUUAUUUAGUUAGAAGAAAUUACCAUCUUCUCAAAUUUUAGAUCAAGUCAAAAUCAAGGGGUCACAAAAUUUAUUUUGAUGGUUCAAUUAUAAAAAAAACAUUCGGUAUGUCUCAAAUAAAUUGUAGUUGAUUCCUUUAUGUUGACUAGGAAAAAUCGGCAAUUGAUGUUAUUCUCGAACUUUUCUAGUUUAUUUCUUGAGUUUUGUUUUCUCUGUGUGGACUUGAUUUAGUGCUUUUUUAUACACUCUUUCUCCUUAAAAAAUCUCUUUUAGUUAAUCAUAUUUUUCUAUGAUGUUUUAAAAAAAAUCACAGUUAAAAAAAUGUAUUUUUUUUAUAAAAUUGAGUUUUGAAUUUUUUUUUAUCAAUUUAAAUAUUCACAAUUUUAUUAAGACACGUUUAUAAAUAAAAUACUACUGCCAACUUUCUUAAUUAUGUGAUUUUAACAAAAGUGUUUUAUAUUUAAAUAUAGAGAUAAUAUUAUUUUCAUAUUUUAUUUUAUAUAUAAAUGUGUACUUCUAGUGAGUACAAUAGUAGAGACUAUAUUUGCGUUAUGGAGUACAAUAUAGCUUUUUAGUUUUGAUGUGUAAAGAGUGAAUGUAUUUACCCAGAUGUCUAUCCGAGUAUUCAUAGAUGUGAAUGUCUAAUAGAAGAGUCUGCGGAGAGAUUAGUUCUUAUGCCUACAAAACAUGUCGAUCUAUGUGAUUGCAUGUAUAAUAUAUACAACAGUCAUAUGAACUCAAUGGUUUUGCUAAUGAAAAUACUAUGAUUUGAAAUCUUCAUCAAUCAAGUUAUGAUCAAUAUAUUAGAUAAAGAUGAUCAAGUAAUUUCAUUUAUGAGAUCAAGUUGUCAAAUGAAUUCUCUUUAAGGACAACACUAAAUGUCAAGUGGCAUUUGGUGGAGUCCUUGAUGAUCUAUGUCAAAAAUUCUAUGAUGAUGGAAUUUAUCAAUAAGCUCUAUCAAGCUUCAUCAGUUAGAAGAAGCCAAAUCAUAUAUGAAGUGUUAAAUCGACGAUGGAUCAAGCAAGGUAUCUUGAUGCUUCAGAGAUUGUGAAAGAAAGGAAGUAUGAAAUCUUGCACGGUCUGUGUCUGAGUGAUAAGAAUAUUGUAAAGAUAUUAGAGUAUUUCUUAAAUUACUAAGGUAAUACGCCCACUAAUCUAAAAGUGUUUUAACCUCUCUAAAUUAUCUAAAACACCUUAAAUCUGAUAAAGGAACCAUCAAGGUAUUUGUGAUAUUGAUCGAGGAUGUUCCUAAACAUUUAGGAAGUUUGUAUACAUUGUCUAAUUGGUUAGGACCCUUAACCAAUCGAUUAGAAUAAGGUUUGAAUCUUCGUAAUUGAAUAAUAACACUCUUAAUAGAUUAAGACAUUAUCCAUUUAAGGUUUUUCUUUUUGGAAAUUAAGGUUGUCAUAUUUUAAAUUGCAUAAUCGAUUAAUCCUAUGAUAUAAUUGUUUAUAACAUUUAAAUGCCGAAGGAUCUUUUUCCUUUUUCAGCCAGAUUUUUCAAAUAUAGAUAGAGUCCCUCCUCACUUUCAAAAUACACGAUAAAAUUUAUUUCUAUAUAGUUUCUCACUCUCCACUAUCUUCUUUUUCAUUUCUUUCCUUUUUACUAAAUUUCCAUGGUGCCUAAAGAGUGAAAAAUAUCAAUGAGGUUUUUUGUGUACUCUAGUGUUGGCGCAUCAUUUUAAUUGAUCCAACAUGAAUUUAUCUCUUGUAUAAUAUCUCUUGUGAGGAGUUUUUGUUUGGUUUUUGAGUUAAACUAAUAAAAAAAUUAAUUUGGUUCGUGAGAUUAUUCAUCAAAGUCUUUGUUUGGUUGGUUAGCUUAACCUGGUAAAAGCUCUCAUUUGGUUUAUGAGAUUUUCCAAUAAAAUCUUCGUUUGAUUUGUGAGUUUAGCCCUAUAUAAAAACUUUCACUUGGUUCCAAGAUUAGUUUGAUAUAAAUCUUGUGUUUGGUUUGUAGGAUAAUCGAUGUAAAACUCCAGUUUGAUUAUAAUAAAGUUUGUUACCAUGUCAGAAAUCACACAUCUAUAGUGAAAACUCUCUAGAAGAAAUUAUUAGAGAGAAAAGUAUGCUAAGUUAUUAGAUAAAAUCUUUGUAAAUCUCUGGUGCAAAUCUCUCAACCCUUAUCUCUUUAUAUUUUUAUUGUUUUUUCAUCAAAUAAUUUUUAAUUGGAUGUCACUUUUCAAAUUCACAUAAUUCACACCCUCAUGUGUUUGGAGUCACUUGUCCAACAAAAUCGGCUACACGUAACAUGGGUUUGACUCACAAGAAGAGUGACUAGGGUGAGUCAUCCUUCUAUGCUAGAACUAAGAUCCGUGAAGGACUACUUCAGUUAUCCCAUAGGGAAUCUCAUUUUACUUACUUAACACAUGAAUUGACACGUCAUCCCAAGAGAUACAUCAUAGAGGAAAUGGGCUAGCGUUGAUCACAUUUUUGACAUGUAACACCAUACUUACUAUCUAAGUACCCUUUAUGUUAUUUAAAAGUUGAAGAGAUGGGGAGCCAAGCCCUUUGAAAUUUUCCCACAAAUAUCUUAAUCCACAUUCCCUCAAACACAAGACUUGUAAGGUCAAAAUUAUAAAACUUUUUUUGAAAGGUAAAAUAGAUAUUUAUAUAUAUUAAAAUGACAAAUAGUGAGGUAAACCCAACAAUACGAAAAAGAGAAUCUAAUGUCACAAGGAGUGUCAAGAAAAAAUCUACAAAGACAAAAGGCAAAAACAAGGAAAUAAGAACACUAAAAAAAGAAGCAAAGCCUCUACAAGGGAUGCAAACCAUGAAGUAUGAACCAACAAGCUACCAACUAGAGCUCUGACAGCCAAACCGACCAUCAAUAGACUAAAAAAACCACUAGCAAUACCAAAAUCUUUGAUCCUUAUGGAGAAGGUCGAAACUCUUGAUCCGCUACUGGGUAAGAUACAUGUAGGGUUUUAAAGCCAGUCAGAGAAGGAAGGUGAAGUCGAUGAUAAUCUAUUAUGAAACCAAGUCCAUGUUGCAAAAAUACUUUUAUCAACCACCUCUUUCACAUUUGUUGAUAAUCCGGUAAACAACUUAUCAUUAUGCACCAACCAGAUAGUCCAUACUAUUGUAUGUCAAAUCAUGACAAAAUCCCCUAGAUUUAUCUCUUCCACCUAAAGAAAAAAGAAUCCCCAACUCCCUAGGAAGAUCCAACUGAACUCCUAACCAUCUAAAAAAUGUAUACCAAACACUAGUCCCUAAUAAAGAUACAAGAAAUACCCUCUGGAUCGACAAUGACCUUGCACUUUAUAAGGUUUUCCUUAAUAGGGUUAUGUCUUACAAAGGUUUCCAGGAGAAAACCACCACCUUAUAGGCACUACAACAAACAAGACCUUAGACAGCGCUUUUUUUAGCCUUAGACAGCGCUUUAAAGCGCUGUCUAAACCUCCGCUGCUAAAGGUUUAGACAGCGCUUUUUUAAAUCUUAAAAGCGUGCUCUAAGCCCCCCCCCCCUUAGACAGCGCUUUGGCCAAAAGCGCUUUAUAAGACCCUCUUAUUUUAAAUUUUUUAGGUAUACCUUAGACAGCGCUUUUGAAAAGCGCUGUCUAAGCCCCACCCCCUUAGACAGCGCUUUGGCCAAAAGCGCUUUCUAAGACCCUCCUAUUUUAAUUCUUUUAGGUAUACCUUAGACAGCGCUUUUCAAAAAGCGCUGUCUAAGCCCCCCCUUAGACAGCGCUUUUACAAAGCGCUGGCUAAGGUAUACGAAAAUUUUGAAGCUUUGUUUUUAAACCACAUUUUUUCCAGGUUUAUAAACCAGAAUUUCUACCUGUUUUCAACCAGAUUUUGACAGACAAUUAUCACAUUUUAUAUAUGCCAUUUUGGCCUUUUUUCUACCAAUUUUGGCUAACAAUAUAUAUAUAUACCAAUUCAAAACCAAUUUUGCCUUAAAUGUAUCAAAAUAUAUACAAAUUUAUGUACACAUUUACAAGUCAUAACAUAUACUACAAAUGUACACAUUAAUUACAGAAAUUUAUGAACAAACAUUGAGCUUUAUCAUGAAUUGACACCACCUCUUUGAUUUCGUCCACUUGAUCCUUUGUAUAAAAUGCACACUUGAAUUCAUCAAAGUACUACAUAAUAAUAUAACUAUUUUGAAUUAAUUCCAACUAUUUAAUUAUAUGAGAUAUGUGUAAAUAUAAAAAUAACUCAUAAGUUAGAAAUACAUACAUCGGUGGGAAUCUUUAAUCCGCCAGCACAAGAGUAUCUCGCAUAAACCUCAACAUGAAAUACCCGCCAAUCUAUUUGAUUACGUUGCUGAGGACACUACAUAUGAAAAAAAAAAUAUGGAUUAUAAAUCCUAAGUUUUAUCAAGUGUCAUCACUAAUAUAAUAAAAAAUGUGGUAAUUAAAAAUAUACCGCCACUUUAAUCCAUGUAAUGGAGUUGGCGCCCUCCUUGAGGUUUGGAUAUCUCGUUGGGCCCGAAAAGCUUGUAGGACGUAAUAAAAUAAAAAUGAAGCAAUUAGAACAAUUCACAUAAACUAAGAAAAUUUUGAACAUCUCACUUACGUGUCAAUUAGGACCUUCAUAUCCGGGUAUGUUGUCCAAUCAUUUCCUAACGAGUCAAGAUAAUACACAAUUCUCGGAUAGGAUUGAUUGCGAGCAACAACCAAUGUCCACUGUAAUGAUUAGGCAAAUGUAGAUGGUAACUUGGAAAAUAAUUAUAAUAGAUGAAUUUAGAAUGAAAUGCUAACCCGGUAUUAAACGGUUAUAAAAAACAACUUCUCCGCAUCUUUAUUUUUGCUAAUAUCUACUGUUGCCCUUUCAACAGGAGUGGGCUUUCCGUAAUCCAAGCAUAACAUGCAUAAGUGUGUUAAUAAACAGGUUCAGAAUGAAUAUCAACCUGCACGUUUCAAUAACAGUUUAAAAAACACUUUCGGAAUUGCAACUAACAGAAAAGGCCAGGACAAAAGUUCAUACCACCUUGCAAACUAUAACAGAAGUUCUUAAUUCAUACCAGAAACGGAAUAGACCAAUUGUCAUAACAACAUACCAUUAUACAAGUCCACGAUAACAUUUUAUUUCAUAAUUCACAAAACUAACCAAUAUAACAAAACAAAGCCAAAUUAAGUUACACAUCCACUCAAGUCCAAAUGAAACUAACAUUUGAUUUGUAACUAACCAUUGCAUUUCAUAUAAGUUUAGCAUUAAUUUUAUGAGCAUUGUAACAGAUUUUGAAGGAUAUAUAAACGAAAUUCCAGUUCACAAAAGCAAUUUUCUUCAUCCAUUCCAAUUUUUAAAGAUUCACUCAUUCACAAAAUUCCAGUUUCACAGAAGAAAUUCUUCAUUCAUUCAUGAAGCAGAAUUGUCAAUAUAUCAUCCAUGAAUUUCCACAAGUCAGAAACGGACAAAUCAAAAAGUUUUAGAACAUACAUAACAACGCCACAGUUAGCAUUCCACAGGAAAAUAGUAUACCUUAAUUAAAUCCUAUAAUUACACAUAGACAUCAUUGAAACUCGCUAAUAAAAAAAAUACCAAAAGUGCAAGAAUUAACCGUGGCAGCCCACCCCAAUUCGGUACAGAUGCAAAUUGUGAAAAUUUCGAACCAAGGUAGUACAUCCUGCAUAAUUAUCACAACAGAACGAAUUUGUAAGUUAACAUUAACCAAUAUAACUGAAUCUAACAUAAUCAUGUAAUACCGUCACUAACCCUACUUCAAGUUAUUAACAUGGUUUUCUAAACAACUCACAAUUCAAACCAUUCAAACCAGCUUUUUAACACAUAGCAGUAUUAUAACCAUCGUAAACGACAUUUUAAUCGGUUUUACUAAGUAUCGUGGCAAAAUUCUCAAUUAACUUCAAUCCAUUACAAUUAUUAAGUUGUGGCAAGUGAGCACUCAAACACACUAGCUAGUGCUGUUCUAAACGAGUCGUUAGCAGAUUCCCAAAUUAGUCAUAACAACUUAACUGAUACAACUUGCUGCGGUAACAGCUCCCGGCGCUCAUGCCCAAUGACAAGUCAAUGCACCAAGACAAUCAUUAGCAUAGCGGAAAGUUUCAGCAAGUAAGUUCUACAUCAAAUAAUCAGGCAAGUGUUUGGUCAUGGUCUUGGCCUCACUAAUAAGUUCUGAUACUAAUAGGCCAUGACAGAUCUCACCAUCAACUUGCUAACAGAUUUACUAACAUCAAUCUACCUUUUGUAGUAACAUAAUUUCAAAGCAAUCGAUUAUAAAUAAAACUACAGAGUCAAAAAAAUGGGAAAUAACUAACAGCAGGACUUUGACUAAACAGUUAAGUUUUUUUUCUAAUUUCAAAUAACCAUGACUAACUAGUUCUCUAACUUAACCUAACAAUUUAAAUUGAUUGACAGACUUGUAACUAACAAACAACUAACAUUUAAAAGCAGAACUUCAACCACAACAAACCUUCAUAGAAGUAACGUGCAAAUCCAGCCUGAACUGCAAGCUAAGGUCCAAUUUUGACUUAUCCCUGCAAGCAAUAAAUAUUUUAAUGAUGAAAAAUUAAUAAUAGAAAAUAAUUCAAUAUAAAAUUAACUUGCCAACUAACAGAGUUUAACAAAAAUCCUAACAACCUGCCCUAACAUAACUAACCUGCCGAUCCGUUGCCCGAUUUGUUGAGAAUACCAUGUAUAUAACAGUGCAAUCAGAAGCUUUCUAGUUUUUUCAUUCCUCACCUUCAAUCUUCACUCUUCACUCUCAAGCUCUCUACCCUCAUAUUCAGAAUCGGUUGCUUUUUGCUCAAAGAUUAGAGCUCAUUCUUCACAGUUCAUCUCUGAGAAGCUCACUUCACUUCCCUCUCGCGUGACCACUCGCACGUAACCACCGCAGUGAUGACUCUGCAAUCCAUAACACAGUUCAGAAGAGUUGAAGAAGAAGAAGAAUCGCAAUCACAGUUGAGAAGAAUAAGAUACAUAACGAGUGACACAACAAGAGGAAGAGAAGUAAUACCUGCGAUUCUCUGAAAUCCACCGCACCGGAAUUCUGAGCCGGAUUGGAGUUGGAUCCAAAUUCGAUCUUUCCAUCGCAAUUGGGUUUAACAUUAAAAGUAAUCGUUUCAAUAUAAGGCAUUAGUUGUCAAAAGUUACUAACAAUGGAAAAUCCAAGUCUUGAGACAUGAGAGUUUGGCAGUCAGCUGUUAACCUAACACCAUCCAACUUCAAACAUAAUUAUGAUUUUGAAAAUAUUAACAAAAGAAGCAGAGAAACAAAGAACAAGAGAUAACCGAUCGCUGCUCCAGUAGAAGCUGCAUACUCUUAAUUGUUUCUCCCUUUACCAAUUAUAAGGCCGACCUAAGAACCAAAUCAACUAUAAACAAAACACUGUAGAAAUUACAUGGGUGUACAUAUUUCGGGCAACUUUGCAACCUAUAUUGUUGGGAUUUGCAUCGAAAUUCAAUCACCCCCAGAUUGGCGCAUCCGUCUUAGCUACCACCACCGUCAGAAGCCCGCGCUUCAGUCCUAGUAAAGAACAACUCUUAUCAGUGAUGUUAUGGUACAUUUCCCCCAGUUAUUACAGUAAAAAUCGUAGAAACAACCAUCGUCAUGAGCUUCACUGAAGGUUACAGUUAAGGCAUAUUUGACUUGGAAAGAUCAUUUUAACAAAUCAGCACAAACAAUCAUACUAAGUUACAAAAUCAGGUUCAAACAUACUGUCGAGCAUAUUUUCACUGGCAGGUUACAGUUGGUCAUUCCAAACCUCACUAGAGCAAAUUACACCAGAAAACACACCAUAUUACAAAUAGAGUCAAUUCAAAACACUUCUUAUCAGUGAUUUCCCUGGCAGGAUACAGAGGCACUAUAUUCAAUAUAAUUUAGCAAAUUUAUCAUUAAACUUUCACAUGCAUUCAAAUCAGUUGAAACACUCUAACCAGUAUAUUUCACUAACAGGCCAAAGUUCGUCGAUUCACAACAUAUUAGAGCAAAUUUAAAACAAACGCUCAGCAAGCUUCAUUGAUAAGUUACUCAGCAGAAGCAACAAGCCUCGAAGUACCCACAAGGUACAGAUCUGUAUUUUCUUUCCAAUUGGCAUCUUUUCUUGCUUCUCAAGUCUAAACUAUCAAUGCAUUUUUCAACAAAAAGGGAUUGAAUUUUUUUUAUGUGGUGUGCUAUCGUGGAUUCGCCAGUUUUAUAUUAUGGCAAAUAUAUAACACAUACUACUUUUUCUUUCCCCCAAUUUAUAGACUGAUUAAAAAUGGUGUGAAGGUUUUAGAUUGGCUUCAUUUUUGCUCCUUACUAUUCGGAAAAUUCAAAAAAUGGCAUGCACAAAAUAACACAAUUGUGGAAAUGGUUUAGGUUAAGUGCCUAACAUAGCUUAUUCAUUGUGAAUCUUUCUUUAAUUAGCAUUGAAUCUUAAGCAAAGACUCAAGUGAAGAAAACACAUUUCCUUGAGAUUACCUAAGGCCAGUGAACAAUUGCAAUUGCUCCAUACAAAAUUUGGCUUUAAAUUCCUGCAAGACAAAAAGUUUAAAUUCAUGCCAUUUCAAAAUUCAUAAUUAUAUCUUAUCAAAUUGAUAGAAAAUUUGAAGCAGCUCCCCUUUCAAGCUUUGGAAUCAAAUCAAUAGAAUGUAACUCACAGAUGUCUUAGUUUUUUCAGUUUGAUAAUGAAUAGGGAUAUUUUGGCCUCAAAUAGUUGCAGCCAUGUUUCUGCCAUAAAGAAGGAUCAUCAGAAAAAACUCACUUGCUAUAGCUUCCGUCGUAAAGUACGGAAAGCAUCAAAAAGUAGGCUUACAUAUGUGUGCAUGUGAGGUAAUUCGUAUUAUUUCACCCAUUAUGCUGUUGAACUGAUACACUAAAAAACCAGAACGGAAUUAAAGUUAACCAAUCAGAAUGGGAAGUAAAUCAUAUUUUGGCAAUAUAGUAAACCAACCAUCCCGAUAAGAGCUUCAAACAUAAAACGAGUUACAUAUUUCAAAUUUGUAGAUUAUACAGCGAGGAUCCAAGAUAUCGGUAAGGUUCAAUCCUUGAAUUUUGCAGGAGGACCGACAGGGCAAGUAUAAGGUUUCUUAGUUGGCAUUAUGGGGGAUAGUGAUAUUAUCUUAACCAGAAAAAAAUCAUAUUUUUGAAGUGAUAUAGUAUAUUAGAGCCUAGGUGCAUUUGAAGUGGUAUAUCAUUUACGAUCAUAUUUAAAUCUUGAUUAUCAGUAGAAUAUGUGCAUACAGAUGUAUAACUGAGGAGUCCAGAACAACUACUCCUGUCCAAUACUCCUCAACAAGGAUCACCCACGUUCCAUCCGUGUAGCCCUUGAGGUUUGUUAGCUCCUGUAUAGAUCCUGGAGGCUGUAAAUGUUUAUAAAAGAAUUGCAAAUAUAUAUUUAGUUUAGUUAGACAUAAAAUGAUAUAUAUGCUUCAAGUGCUGGAUCUAUAACAAAAUUAGUUCAAUUUUAAUUGAAGUGAAGCAUGGAAUUUUUGUUUUCUCAGGUUCAAAUCUAACCCUCAUAAAUACAUGAAUUUUCAAAUCAACCACAUCUUCAAUUUAUCUCUAUAUCAAUUUAGCAUUACUGACAAAAUCAGCUACUUGCUUGGCUACAUUAGCACGGACACCGGAAACACGACACUGACACGUCGAUGUCAUAGUAAUUUGAAAAGAUAAUAAAUUAAACAUAAUAACAAGUAUCAGUGUCGAUUUUGACACACUCUGAAACAACACACAUUUUUUUAGACGUGUCGGUGCUACAUAUCUAAAUAUCCUAAUAGAUAUUGUUCUUCAAUGUCAUCUUGAAGUGGAUUUAACUCAAAAUAUCCAAAACCUUAGUCUGAAUUGCAACCACAAUAAAAAGUUUUAGAAAUCCUCUGCAAUUUCGGCCGUAUUUAUUCUGCAUUUCCACAAUAUCAGGUUUACUGAACAACUGCAACGAUUGCAAUUAGAAAUCAUGAAGCAAAGCUAUAUUUCAGUUGAUUUUGCAUGCACACACCAUAUCUUUUUGAAGCAACUAACUAUCCAAACGCAAAUCUAUGGAAAAAAAAGAAAUAGUUACCGUCAAAUGAUUGGUGAAUGCCGAAGCCGUAAGAAAUCAAAGUUGCUGAGACACAAGGAAGACGAGAUUCACUAACGAAUCAUUUUCUUUCUUGUUUUUGUUGUAUACUGAUUGAAACUCUGUUUUUCUCUCAAUUUUCCUCAAAAACGAACUGAUCGAAUAGAAUCGAUUGAAGACCAGAGUUCGAAGGAAGCAUGUUUAUGAAGCGAGCCUGCACGGAUCCAAUCAGUAGUGAAAACCACACAGGAUAGAAUCAUACAUAUAAUGGGGGAAAGGGUUAGGGUUUAGGGAAGAAUCUUCACACAGGAUAAACAAGCUCUGAUGAGGGUUGGAAGAAGGGGAGUGGAUUUGGCGAGAAAGAGAAGCAAGCUCGAUUGAGAGGGUUUGGGGAAGAAUGUAGGAUUUUAGGAUUUGGGAGGGAAUAACUUUUUUUUCGGACAUGGAGCGGAUAAGACUUUAGACAGCGCUUUUGGUUUUAUUUUUUUUUUAAUUUAAAGACUUUAGACAGCACUUUAUCAAAAGCGCUGACUAACGUCUAUAUUUAAACGCUUUCUAAAAGCGCUUCUAAAAGCGCUGUCUAAGGGGGGGUCUUAGACAGCGCUUUUAGAAAGCGCUGUCUAAGACCCCCCCUUAGACAGCGCUUUCAUUAUGUUUUUGGAACAUUUUUCGUGUUUUAUUUUAAUUUUAACCUUAGACAGCGCUUUCUUUUAAAAACGCUGUCUAAGAUGCGCUGUUAAAAGUCAUUUUUGGCGUAGUGAGGGAGACCAAAUAUCCCAAAUAAGGGGAAGCAAUAGAUUCUUCCUAGAUAGAGUAUCCCCAGGUAGAGGGAAAAGGCCAACUUAGAUUUGAUAAGGCGAUGCCACCAAGAACAAGCCAUCUCUAAUAUGUCUCCACACUUAGCUAUCAUUUUGCUCACUAUAUUGAAACUCUUACAAGACUGAGAAAAAGUCAUAGACCAUAGAUCCUCAUGGGUGAAGAACAUUCUCCUCUAACCAAGGUCCCGAGAAAUCCUUUGAUCUAUCCACUUACCAAUUUCACUCUCAAUGUCAUCCUAUCUCUGGGAGAUGGCGAAGAGUCUCUAAAACCUAGUCCUAAGAGGUAUACUCCAUAUUCAAGGAUCAUUUCAAAAAGAUGUAUGAAAAUAUGUCUCAACCUUCUUAACAAACCCAACGACAAACAAAUUAGGAGGAUCAUCGUUUUUAGAUCCAAGGAGGAACAUUCCUUUCCACCAAAAAGAGAUGAAGUGAGAUCCCAAAGAUUGAUCCCCACAUGCGGAUAGGAUAUUUUAUUCCAUAGUCUCUCAAACACAACUUGUAAAGACAAAAGGGUUUUAAUUCAGAAUAUUCCUGUCCAAAAACUAAUAUUAUGAUAUGUUUAUUUUAUAUAAAAAUCUUAAUUUAUAGUUUUUAAUUUUAUUAUUUACUGUCAUACCCCAAUUUUGUCUAACCAUGUUAGAACUUUUAUACAUGUGACUUUACUUCAGUUUGCAUCAUAUGCAUGGCAUGUCAUGCAUUUCAUCACGCCUAAUGACUAAAGUGUCUUUCAGAAUAAUUUCGAAUAUACAGAAAAAAAAAAUAGUAAUGGUUCCAAGAACCGAAUUAAUUAACACUAAAAUGUUUAGUUUUAGUAUAAUCUUUUCUUUCAAUUUAAGUUUAUAUUUAAAAAAAUUUAAUUAAAAUUUAUCAUAUUUUAUUUUAUUAACAAAUAUUUACAUAUGAUUGUUGGAAUAAUUGGAAUGUCACUAAUUAAUGAUGUAUUUUUAUUUUUGAUUUUAUUCAUAAAAAAUUAAUUAAAUAGUUAUGUUUUACAAUCUAACAAAAAAAAUAUAUUUAAAAUAUAUUUUAAAAAAUUAAUGAUAGAUGAUCUUGGGGUUCAUACUUAAAAAAAAAUUAAAUUUAUAAUUUUAUCGUGAGAUAACAUUUUUUUUCGCUUAUUUGACAAGUAUAAAAGAUAAGACAUAUGAUAACUAUAUCAUAUCUAUAUUAUUUUUCAAUUCUCUUCAUAUAUAUAUAUAUAUAUAUAAAAAAGUUUAAAAGACUUACAUCAAAUCUCAACCGUUAAUAAAAUUGAAUCAAACGAUCAUAUAAAGUGAAGUGGAAAAAAAUAGACUAUUUAUUUAUUUAUAUUAACGAAUGAGAUUUAGUGUAAGACUUUAUAUAUAUAUAUAUAUACUAUAUAUAUAUAAUAUUAUAUCUGGUAUCCAAUCCAUUUAUGUGAAUCUAUACAUCAAGAAAUGAAAGAUAUAAGAAAAAAAAUUAAUUAUUAUUUCUAUAACAUAAUAAUUUAAGUAUAAAAAUAAAAUUAAAAAUAAUUCAGAUAAAAAAUGACAUUAAAUUAAAAUAAUUAAAAUUAAAAUUAUUAUAUAUUUUUAUUAAAUAUUAAUAUUAAUUAUUUUAUUUUUUUAAUUACUUUUUUUGGGCAAUGGUAGUUUUAUUAUUUACAUAUAAUAUAUAAUAUAUUUGUAUAUGACAUAUCUAUCGUAUAUUGUGUAAAUUAUUUCUUUAAAAUAAAACUAAUUAUUUAAUAAUGUAUAUGAAUUUUAUUAAAAGUUAUCAAAAAAACUUGCUCAUUACUUUUUAGAUAUUUUUUAGUAUAUUUUGAUUUAUUUAUUAACUAUUAACAAUGUAACAAUAAAACCAAUAUCUUCGGGAUGGCAAAUCUUUUAUUUUGAAAAAAAUAAAACUUUUUGAUUCAAAAAUCAAAUCAAAUCAAAUUCAUAAACAAAACUUGUUAACUACGAUUGAACCUUCUGUUUUCCCUAUAAAUACUACUCAGAUCCUUUGUUUUUCCACACUCGCCUCACUCUCUAUUCUCUAGCUUCAUAAGGUUUUAGGGUUAGGGUUUUAACUUUUCGAAAAAGCAAAGAAAUCAAAAUUCAAUCAUGGCAUCAACAUCAACGUCAAUGGCAUCAACAAAGAAGAUCAAUCUCAAGAGUUCUGAUGGUGAGAUUUUUGAGAUUGACCAGGAAGUGGCGUUGGAAUCACAAACCAUCAAGCAUAUGAUUGAGGAUGAUUGUGCUGAUGACACCGGAAUCCCUCUCCCAAAUGUAACCAGCAGGGUUUUGGCGAAGGUGAUUGAGUACUGCAAGAAACACGUCGAAGCAGCAGCGAAUUCUGAUGAAAGACGGGUUGACGAGAAUGAUAUCAAGACCUGGGAUGCUGACUUUGUGAAGGUUGAUCAGGAUACCCUCUUUGAUCUCAUAUUGGCUGCAAACUACUUAGACAUCAAGAGUCUGUUGGAUCUUACAUGCAAGACUGUUGCGGCCAUGAUUGAUGGUAAGACACCAGAGCAGAUUCGCAAGACUUUUAACAUUAAGAAUGACUACACUCCAGAGGAAGAGGAGGAAGUUCGUCGCGAAAAUCUAUGGGCUUUUGAAUGAUUACAUGUUUACUUUUAAGAUUAAAUUAAUGUUAUGUUUAGUUUUAUUCAUCAAAGAGCUGCAAUAUGUAAAUUUAUAUCUUUUCACAUGGUUGUAUCAUUCUGAUCUUAUUCACAGAUUGUGUAGUUUGUGUAAGUUUUCAGUUACUUGAUUGGUUUCAUUUAGAAUAAUAAAAAUAUCAUUAUCUUUUUUAAUAUAUGAAAUCAUCAACUUGAUCAGGCAUUAUAAGACACAGAAAGAGUACAUAUAAUCCUUGAUAACUUUAUCUUAAGCAAAAUCCCUCAAAAACAUGAAUAAAAGGUGGGCAAGUGAUAUGAUCCAUUUUGCCGGAGUAAUCCUUGACAAAGUUGUACAUAUGGCAGUAUGUCAAGUCCCAAAAAUAGAUAGUUAAAUUGAGGGGUGAUUUGACCUUUAUUUUGACAAGUUGUGUGACUUUUUAAAAUUAAAAUUAAAAUAUAAUAAUGAUAAAUAUAUUUUAUGGAUUUAAAUUUUGGGCAUUAAUUUCUUUUUUAUAAUUAGAAAAAAUAAUAUUGAAACAUAAAUAAUAAUACUUCAAAAAUAAAUUUUAAAAUUAAAAUUUAAAAUUUAAAAUAUUCAACAAUUAUAUCAUAGAAUCAAUCUGAGUUAUCCUCGUCACUCUUGUCUUCUACUUCAUACUCUCCCAUUACUCAUUGUCCAACAAGUGCUGAGAACCCGCCAACCCUGCCAUAUCCAUUCAUUGCUCUUGAAGUUCGGUUCAUUUGUGAGAAAAAAAACUCUUGAAACAUUUUUGAACGCUCUCGUUCCAUCUUCAAUGCUUCCUUCAUCUUUCCUUGUUUUUCCUUCAUUUCUUCUUGUCAUACCCUAAAAUUGUCCCUCCUUUUUUUUAUUUUUCAUCUAACCAAUGGCUUGAGAUUCAUCUACAUUCAUUCAUGCCUCAUGUAUGUGCAUCAUUCAUUCAUAUUAGCACUUUCUAAUAAUCAUCAUAUACUCAAAGUUUGUGGUUAUGAAAUCUAGGGUUUGCUUGUGGAUCAAGCCCUAAGAUUGUGAUAUUGCUCAUCAUAUGGAAUCAAAGGGGGUGAAACCCUAAUUUCUUGUCCUUUGGAACUUUGGUUCAUGGAUAUCACAACAUGGUUUUCAUAUGUGCACCAAAACCCUAAUUCUUGAUUUUGACUUCAGAUCUUGUGAUUGACCUUAUAUGCAUUAACUUGAUCACCAAACCCUAGUCUUGGGCCCAUGUGUUGGAAAGUUGAUAUUUGAGCCUUUGUGCUUGGUUUGAAGAUCUUGAUUAGAUGAUGUGCAUCAUGAGACCUUAAUAAGGGAGCCUUGGUACUUGUGUGCCAUGUUGGUUUGACUUUUGAUCUUGUGAUUGACUGAAACCCUAAUUCAUUGGAAGGAGGUUCUUGAUCAUCAUAUCAUGCAUCAUCAAUCAUCAAAUGAGUUAUUUGAUUAUAGGAAUCAUUCAUCGAGUUUGUCAUUUGACCUACAUAUCUACAUGCUUGGAGAUUCAUCUUAUCCAAAUCCUUGUUCAAGCAUCCAUGUCAUAUGCAUUCUAUUUGGCCAUCCCUAGCCCAUUAAUUCUAGGUCCAUGGUGCUUUCAAGUUCAUAGGUCCAUGGUCAUUGGUUCAUUAUUCAUGAACACAUUGGGUCAUGAUCUUUUGGUCCAUUGUUUUCAUUGUCCCAUUAUGGUUCAUGGUUCAUAGUAGGUCCAUUAAGGAUUGAUUCAUCAUGUGCCCCUAGUCCAUUUGUUGUAGUUCAUUUAACUCAUGCAUUCAUGAUCCUUAUGAUUCAAGUGUUUUAAAGGUGAAUGAUUCAUUUGCUUCUAAUCAUGGUUUAAACUUGGGUUCUUAGGAAAAAAUCAUUUUGAAAUCAAAUUUGUUUACAUUCAAUCAUAGAUCAUUCCAUCCAAAAAAUGGCCAUUCAUUCAUAAAUUAGCAUAUACAAUGUUCAUUAUGAAAUAUAAAAAAAAUGUAUUUUUACAAAAGUUGGCUUUUGGUCAACUUUUUACUUUUUGGUCAACCAAUUGACCAAAGUAAAUUAUUAUAUUCUCACCCCUAAAAUUCUAAUACUCAUUACAUCUUUAUUCAUGCAUGAUUCCAUGGGUUUCCAUUAUCACAUUUGCUUCAUGAGCAAGAAACUCCAUUUUGCAUCCAUUUUGGUCAUGCCAUGCUUUGCCUUGGUCACCUUGUGUUCUUGCCAAGCCUUGCAACCAUGACAAACCAAAAGCCUUGCCACCAUACCACAAAACAUUCCUGCACUCAAAAUUAGCAGUCAUCCAAUCAUACAACCAAGCAAUGCAAACAUAGCAACAAUGCGCAUGAUACAUCAAUUAACACCAUUUGCAAACUUACCAUGGCAUGAGCAAACCAUGACAUGAGCACAUCCUGCGGCAACACGCAUAGUCAGCUUUGCAUCAAAUCAUCACUGGCUUGCUCACAAACCUUGAAACUCGACUUGCCAUACAGUCCAACAAAAACCCUUUGAAAUAUGCAGCAACAAGCUUUGCAAUGCCCUACAUUUUCAGCCAAAAGACCUUGCAACCUUUGUCUAUCAUCAUCAACAUGCCACAUUCAUGACCAUAGCAUCCUGCAACAUCACAUCCACAUAUACAAAAACAGUCAUGGCAUUGCAACUUAAAUUAACUGCAUACCAUUCAUAUAUGAAUGGUAUGCAGCAACCAUAGCAGUUAACAUCUCAACAUCACAUAGUAGGGCAUUGCAAAAAUCGAGCAGCGGAGUUUUGAACUGCCAUUUCAUUUGCACUUCCAUCUAACCAACUAACAUUAUCUAAUAAAUCAUUUUCACUAACUCAAAUUAACCUACACUAACCAACAUCAUCUAACCAUGUUAACUGCAUUUUCACUCCACUAAUAGAAAAUUAGAAAUAACAUUGAACUCGAAAUCAGUUAACAUUUCUAACAGCAAAACUCAGUUUCAGUUAACACUUAACUCUAACAGAUUUCACAAGUCUAACUAACCUAACUAAGUAAAUUAACAUUGUUUUAACCUUUAACCAAUUCCAUAUUCAUUGAGUUAAUAGAACUAACAGAACCAGUUAACUCAUUUCCUAUAAAUUCAUUCAUCCUCACUCAUUCAUGAUCCUCAUUCAUUCAUUCAUUUUAAUUCAACACUUCACAACCUCUCGUUCUCUCAUUCAGAACUCAGUGCCCUCUCUCUAUCUCGAAUUCACAUUCCAUUGAUACGAUUUCCUCAGAUCCAGAUUAGCAUUCAGAAGAUGAAGAAAGAAGAAGAUGAUUAAGGAGUAGAGGAUUCAAGUAAAAGAGAUUUCGAAGGUUUCAGAGAAGUUUACCUGAAGUUCUGGUGUCUACUCCGGUGAGUGCAUCUUCUUACCUUAAUUUAUUUGAUUCAAACUAGUUACCAUCAUGUAGAGCUCAUUGAGAGGAAUCGAAGCCCUAACCUCUAGGGCUUUGUUUCCAAGUAUCCUUCAUUUAAUUUUUGUUGCAAGAGCUAGGGUUCUUGAUUAUUUCCCUUCGAUCUGGAAAUUUCAAGAGGUUUCAAAUGAUUUUGUUUGUGGAUUUUGUUAGAGCGUAUGGUUUGGAGUAAUUUGGUAUGUGAAAUUUUGAGAGACUUUGCUCCACCGCCGUCGGUGGUGAGCUUCGACGCGAUGGAGGGAGAAAGGAUUAAGAUGAUGACAUUUGAACUUAGCCAGCACGUGGAAUAUCAUUGGUGCAAAGCAUAAAAGAUGAUUCAUGAUCAUAUAUCAACAGUUUUGGAUCAAAUAAGUUUGAAUAAACAAUGAUUUGAGAUGUGAAAUAACUCAUCAACAAAGCAAUCAAAUUAAUUCAAAACAUCAAGUGAGAAUCAAAAUAAAAUAAAAUGAUUAAAAUAAAUUAAUAAUGAUUAAUAAAAGAAAUUAAAAGAGAAAAUGUCAAAGAGGGGUCAAAACACAAAAUAAAAGUCAAAGAAAAAUAGUGAAGGUCAACAAAAUUACAAAUGACUUGACCUCAAAAGUUAGGAUAAAAAAUGUUUUAAAAUGAUCAUAAAAAUGUUAAAAUAAAAUUAAAUGAAAAAUAAAAGAAAAUAUGAAUUAAAUGCAAAAUGAGUUUUUAAAAAUAUGGAAAAAUUAUAUGCAGUAUAUAAUACUUUUGUGAAAUUAUGAAAAAAAAUUGGACUAGAAAAUAAUAAAGGAGUUAUUUAAAAUUAAUUUUGAAAGAAAAAGGAAUUAAAUGAAAUAAAAAUAAAAUAAAAAUAAUUCAAAUGCAACAACUAGCUAUGUGGCGCGUCCUGAUUGGUUAGGAGAUUUGAAUUUAGCUCCAAAGCACGUGAGGCAACUUCAUCUUCAACCUCAAGAUUUUGAUUUUUCCAACUUCACGAACUCUUGUUUUUAACAUGAAUCAAGCAUGGAUUUAGUUGUAAAACAUCUCAUCAUUCAUGUCUCCCCUACAUCAGAGCAAUUGAUUUAGUCUGAGCAGGGAGAAUUUGCUCAAGAACUCGAAGAACCCAAGUUCUUCAAAGUAAGACUAAAUGAUGAAUACUGAAAAUAAAUUUGAAGUAAGUGAGGAUUUUGAUCAAUGGAGUAAGGCGAAGAGUGUGGUAACUUGUUUGCUCAAAGUUGUAACUCGUAUCUACCUUUUCGAUUGGAGCUUCAAAAGUCAACUAUGGUGGAUCUGGAUGCAAGGUUCCAAGAAUCUUCAAGCCAAAGUAGUGCUUCAGUUAGCUUCAGAAGGUGCUGAUGAAGGUUUCUGGGUGGAGAUUUGAAGUUAAAAGAGUUCGAAUAAAGGAAAUGGUUGACUGGUUAUUUGAGGUAUCUGGCUCUAAUGGUUUCAGAGUUUCUUUGGCUUUCAAAUAUUUUUAAAUGAAGGAAAAAACUUCCUCUAUUUAUAGGGAAUGUGUCAUACGGUGAACUGGACUUUUUGUGGUUUUAAUCGCAAUGUCGCGGUUAGCAAGAGUCGCCACCGACUUUUCUUUUAUCCAAUAAGGAAAGGUGGAAAAGAACAGGAAAGACCUUAAUUUAGAUUUUGGGUUCGGGAGGUACAUUAACAAAGGGAAUGUGUUAGCACCCUUUGUAUCCAUGGUUAUCCAUGGGCUCUUAAUUGCUCGAUCACUUAUAUCAUUUUAAAAAAAAAAGUGUUUGUGAAUUGUUAGAAAAAUUGUUUUGAAAAGAGAAUUUAACUUUGUAAUGAUUCUUGUAUGAAAUGUAUACAAAGUGUUAUCUCGUUUAGUUUUGAAAUGUUUAGAAAAAUAUAACUCGGUAAUGAUUCUAGUAUGAAUGUAUACCAAGUGGUGAUUUUCUAAAGUAUUUUGAAAGUGUGAGGUGCGAAAAAGUGUUUUAAGUUGUGAGCCAGCAAUUAAGAGUUAUAGCCGACCCAGGUCUUUACGGGCAUUUCCUAUCCUUAUGAGGGUAAAACUGUCCUUAUUAUUGAGAAAAUAAGUAGUUUUAUCCUUUGGAUGUAAAAGGGUCAUCGUAGGGUCAUCGAUUGGUCAUUGAAGGCAACAUUAUGAGGAUACCUUAGCAUUCGAAGGGACUAUCAUCAUUUAAUCGUAGGCAACAUCGGAGGGUCAUCGAGGGACAAAGUUGUAUAUUCGAAGGCAACAUCCGAGGGACUCAAAUUUAUUUUAUGAUGAUUUAACCGAAGGGUCUUUGCAAGGGUAUCCCCCACAUUCGCGGACAUGACCGUAAUAUUCGUAAUCGUAAGGCAACAAAAGAGAGGUCCAAGAUCACUUAUUCAAAGGCAAAGUUUUACAUUAAUUAGGUGAUUAGGAGGAAUUCUCCCACAUUAAAAUUAUUAAAAAUAAUAUAAUUAAAAAAAAAUUAAUACAUUAGAAAUUAAUACAUUAAAAAUAAUUUGGGUGAAAACUCCACAAGGGUAUCCCACAAAUAAAGUGGAAUACCUAGCCAAUAACCUUUUCCUGGGAUAUGUGAACCUUUACGAAACUCAAAAAAAAAAACAUGUCAGAAUACCAAACAGGGUGCAAUCGAAGAUUACACCGGAGAAAUAUCACAACAAUAAAUAGGAUAGGAUGAAUAAUGCAUGGCCAUGAUAAAACAUAAAAAAAACAGAAUAGGCCACGGAUUUGAAUUUGAAAGCAGCCCCACGUUAGGAACUUUGAAUUUUAUGGCAUUUUAUCACAGGAAUAAACACGGUCAAACAUUCAGGGUAUUCAGGCAUAUUUAAUUCCCAUACGAAGCAAAUUAUAUAUCAACAUUUAAUCAUGAUGCAUUAUAUAUGUAGAUAUGGCCAAUUGAAAGUAUAAACAAUAGAGAUACGCAAACCUGUUUGCCAAUCAAGGUUGAAGGGAUUGACCCCUUGUAGUAUCGGAAUAAGUUAGGCAGCGGAAUUGGGCGGCGAUGGCUUCGGGGCGGGAUGAGCUGCCUUCAGGGUUUCUUCUUUAUUGAUUUUCCGGGUUGGCAGAGUUCCUAUGCCAAAGUUUCUAUCCGUCCUUCUCUGUUCUCUCUCUUUCUUUGCCUCAAGGUUUUGUUCCAAGGAACCUCAGAGUGUUUUUGUUCUCUUCCUUCUUUCUCCAGUGAAUCUCCCAGUGUAAACUCUAAGUCUAACUCCCAGUCCUUUUCCUCUACUGAAACUUCAGUAUUUAUAGACUAAUUUUGUGGGUAAUGGCUUGGAAUGAGGGAGACCCAAGUCCAAAAUAAUUUGUUAUAUUUUAUUUAUUUAUUUAUUUAAUUAAUUAAUUAAUAAUUAAUUAAUUUUUUUUUUUUUUUCGUUUUUUUUUUUCGUUUUUUUUUUUUUUUUUUUUUUUCCAGGAAAAAAUGAUGGGUAAAUUUUGGGGUAUGACAGAAUGUGUUGGGAUUCAAAUAUGUGUGGAAUGGAUCUUAAUUCAUGUGAAUCAACUCAAGAAUUUUUAGAUCCAAAUCGUGUGAAAAUUUGGCACCAAACUCGUGAUUUUGGAGCUUUCCAAGUCAUUUCAUGUUAUGGUCAUAUGCGUUUGAUCUGGGAAACAAGUUUGCACGCGUGAGAAGUGGUCCCAAGUUGAUUUGGGCAUGAUUUCACAUUAUAGGUCACGGUGCAAAACAGAGUUUAGGUCACCAUGUUCAUGCUUGGGCCAAUUCCAAUCCACUCGUGUGUUUUCCAAUUUUCUUUGAUCCAAAUGAUCACUUCAUGGAGUAGAACAUGAUGCAAAAAGAAUCAAGUCCAAAGGAUCUUUGAGGUGAAAGUUACAUGCUUAUGAGGUUAAGGUCGUGACCUGGUUUUUAGGCUAAAUAAUGGGAUCAAAAGAAUUCUUGGGCUAAAAAUGGCAAGGGUAGAAAGUAGGGGUCAUAUCAAGGUUUUAACCCAUUUUGGCAACUUGGACCUUUGCACAAAUGAGGUCAUUAAUGAAUGAAUUGAUAUUUGACCCUUGAAUCAGAGUUGCAGAGGAUCCCAAAAGGAAAAUUUGGCUCAAGUAAGCUUGACAAUUGGAUAAAAAUUGAAGGAAUUAUGGAGUUUGGAUCAAAGGUAUGACAUACUUGCAAAUUAGGUCAAACCAACUUGUACCCCUUAGUUUGAACUUGAAGUUUUCUUGCAUUUCAAGCCAUAAUGAUGAUGGUACAAUCAUCCCUUGAUGAAAACUUGAUUAGGGCUUGAAUAAUCUUGAUAAUAACAUGAAGAUUGAGAGAUAUGGCAUGGAAACAAACACAUGGACCAACACUGAAUAAUCAUGAAUUGUUCCCUUGAUCAAAAGGGCUUUGUCUUGCCUUGAUUUGGAGCAUGAUCACCUACAUGAGUAACAAGAACAACCAAGCACCAUCUCUCAAUGAAGUUAGGGUUAGUUGUUACGCAAAACAAGAUGAAACCCUAAUGUUAAGAUACAAAUUACAAAGUGGUCAUGCUUGUGAUCCUAUGACCAAAUGCAAUGGUCACAAAUGAUAUGAUUUAAUGUAUGCAAAUGAAUUAUGCAAAAGGAAAAAGGGAGGAUAAAUUUUGGGGUAUGACAUCACCUUUAACUUCCUCUUCAUUAGUUUCCUCACUUUUUCUCCUUAUGAUCUUACUCAACCUCUUUUUCAACUACAACCUCUUUUACACUUUUUUCUCUCCCCCUCACCUGGAUCUUUUCUUCUAUCACUAAACUUUUGGUUUGAAGGUAUCACUCUAUUUCUCAACUCAAUGGCUUUGUAACUAUCGUUUUCCGGAUUGUCGGCGGUGUUUCCAACAAAUCCCUACUUGAACUAGCUUUUGCUGUCAUUUAUCGAGGUAAUUGACUGAUUUGAAUUUCCAAUUUUUUUUUGAAGCUUUUGUAUUUUUUUCUCAUGACAUCUUGACUCUUUGCCAUCUCCCAUUAGGUUUUAAAAAUUUAUUGUUGAGUUUUUCCAACUUGCUCAAAACUUGUCUGAGUUGCUUUCAUGAAGUUGGAUAAGGCUUCCUCAAGUGGUGAAUGUUUCCUUGGUGUUGCUUGAGGAACUUUGGAUUGGAGUUCAAAGUCUGAUUGUUGCUCCACUUGAAAUUUGGAUGAUCUUUUCAACCAAUAUUGUAGGUGUUGGAAUAAGGUUUAUUUUAUGAAAGUUUGCAUACUGAGCUUCGGCACUAACUCCUUCUGGUAGACAAUUUUCAUUUGCAUGUCCGCCCCCACUGAAAUCACACCUUAGUGUCUAAACCUGACUCACAUUCGUCGGAACCAAUGAGGAUGUGAAUAAUUGUUUCGAAAUUAGCUCGAGUUGAGUUAAAUAUUGAAUCAAUGAUGGAUCAAGCAAUGGAUCUUGAAGUCUCAAAGACUGUGAAAGAUAAGAAGUGUGAAAGCUCGUCUGGUUCAUGUUUGAGCGAUCAAAUUAUUAUAAAUAUAUUUGAGUGAUUCUUAAAUUAAUAAUACAAUGUAUACACUCACCUAAAAGUGUUUUAACCUCUCUAAAUUUGCAAAACGCCUUAAAGCAUAUAGAGGAAUCAUCAAGGUGCUUGUGGAAUUGACCAAGGAUGUUCCUAAACAUUUAGGAAGCUUGUAUACGAUGCCUAAUCGAUUAAGUCCCUGACCAAUCAAUUAAAGUAAGGUUUGAAGCUUCUUAAUUGAUUAAUAACACUCUUAAUUGAUUAAGACACUAGUCAUUCGAGGUUUUUCCUUUUGGAAAUUAGGAUUGUUGUAUUUUGAAGCUCAUAAUCAAUUCACUACGGGGUAUAAUUGGUUAUGGCAUUUAAAGGCCCGUGAAUCUUUUUUCUUUUUUAGCCAGAUUCCUCACUUAUAAAUAGAGGGUUUAUCCUCACUUUCAAAACACACAAGGAAACAUAUUUCUAUAUACUUUCUCACUUUCUACUCUCUCUUUUCUCCUUUCUUUCUUUUUCACUAAAUUUCCUUAGUGCUUUAUGAGUGAAAAAUGUCAGUGAUGGUUUCUAUGUAUUUUAAUGUUAGGGUAUUAUUGUAAUUUAUCCAUUAGAAAUUUAUCUCUUGUGUAAUAUCUCUUGUGAGAAGUUGAUGUUUGGUGUGUGAGCUAAGCCAAUAAAAACUCUCAUUUGGUUUGUGAGAUUGUCCCUCAAAAUCUUUGUUUGGUUCAUGAGCUUAGGCCCAUGUAAAAGCUAUCAUUUGGUUCAUGAGAUUGUCCAUCAAAAUCUCAGGUUGCUUCGUGAGCUAAGCCAAUAAAAACUAUCAUUUGGUUUGUGAGAUUGUCCCUCAAAAUCUCAGUUUGGAUCAUGAGCUUAGCAUGGUGUAAAAGAUCUCAUUUGGUUUAUGAGGUUGUCCAUCAAAAUCUCUAUUUGGUUCUUGAGCUUAGCAUGGUGUAAAAGAUCUCGCUUGAUUUUGAGAUAAUCCUAAUACAAAAUCCCUUGUUUAAUUUUGAGGAUAGUCGAUGACAAACUCCAGUUUGAUUGUAAGAAGAUUUGUGAUAUAACCUACGAAAAAGAUCACAUCUAUAAUGAAAACUCUCAAGAAGAAAUUCUUGAAAAGAGGAGUGAAGCAAGUGGUUAGGCCGAACCUCUGUAAAUCUUUAAAUUCUCUCUUUAUAUUUAUACUAUUUAUUUAUUUUCAUUAUAUUUUCAUCUUUCAUUUACUUUGAUUUCCUUUUCUUUAUUUUUGCUGCCUAUUAUUUAGUUGGUUUAUAAAAUUGUUUUAAAGAAUUGCUAAAGAAUUUUUAUUUGGGCAUCACUUUUUAAACCCACACAAUUCACCCCGACCUCUUGUGUUUUGGAGCCACUUAUUCAACAAAACUUGAUACGCAUCCCAUGAGUUUGACUAACGAGAGGAGUGGUUGGGGUGAGUCAUCCUCUAAUGUUAAAAGUGAGAUCUAUCAAACAAGUACUUCAAUUAUCCCUUGAGGGAAUCUCGUUCCACUUACUUAAUAUUUGGCUUGACACACCUUUUCAUGAAAUACAUCAUAGAGGGAAUGGGUUGGGCUCAAUCACAUUCUCGCUUUGUGAUAUUACACUUACUAUUAAAGUAUCUUUCGUGUUAUUUAAGAGUCGAAGAGUUGGUGGACCAUGCUCUUUAGUCUUUUCCUAAAAAUAUCUCAGUUCAAAUUUUCUCAAACACAAAAUUUAUAGAAUCGAAGUGAUUAAACUAGAAUAUUUAUUCCACCAUCUCUAAAACACAACACAUGUAAAAACGGAUUAAUUAAUUUAGAAUAUACCAAUCCAAAAAAAUUAUGAUGUGUAUAUUAUAUAUUUUGUAGUUUUAUUAUUUACAUUUUAACCUGAUAAAGAACACAUGCUCUUAUACUAAUUUUCAUUAAAAAAACAAAGAAAAAAUAGUAAUGGUUCCAAAAACCAAAUUAAUUAACACAUAAAUAUUUAGUUUUAAUAUAGUUUUUCUUUCAAUUUUAGUUUACAUUAAAAAAAUAAUUACGAUUUUAUUUUAUUUUAUUUUAUUUUACUAACAACUUGCUGCAGAUGAUUGUCGGAAUGUCACUAAUUAAUGAAGUAUUUAUAUUUUUGAUUUUAUUUAUAAAAAUUUAAUAAAUAUUUUUUACAACAUAUUAGAGAAAUGUAAUUUUAUCAUUUUUUAAAAAGAAAAAUAUUAAAAAGAUUUAAGGUGAGAAGAUCUUAGUGCUCUUACUUAAAAAAUAUUCAUUUAAAACUUAUGAUCUUAUGUAAAAUUAAAUCUUUUAAGCUUAUUUGAUGGGUAUAAGAUAAGAGAUAUGAUCAUGUCGAAAAAAUAAAAUAAUAAUAAGAGAUAUUAUAUGAUAAAUAUAUCAUAUCUAUAUUAUAUCUCGUCUCACUCUAUUAUUUUAUUAUAUAUAAUAAAUAUAUCAUAUUUAUAUUCGAUCUAUUAUUUUAUUACACAUUAAGAGAAAAAUUAAUAAGAUAUAAUAAAUAAAUAAAUUAUUCAUUAUAAAAAUUUAAAUAUAAAAAAAUAAUUUGGCAUUUAAUCUAUGUUUUAGAAAUAAAAUGAUUAUUAAUUUUUUUUUUAAAUAUUAAUAUUAAUUUUUUAAAAAAAAUUAGAUAGAACUUUUUUAACAAUAAUAGUUUUUUUAUUAUUGAGAUUCAUUGAAUUAUAUCGUAUAAAAUCACUGUCAUCUAAUUAGAAUUUAUCAUUUUAACAUAUAAGUAUGAAAUUAAAAUAUAAAAAAAAAUUAUAAUUAAACCAUUUUAAUAACUAUUUAUUUUAUGUUUUCUUAUAUGUCAAAACGAUAAAUUUUAAUUAGAUGAGAGUGUAAAAUGGUUUGAGAGGGUAUUCUAAUUAAUCUCUUUAUUAUUUUAAUAUAGUAUAUAUUAAUGUAUUUGUAUAUGAAAUAUUUAACCCAACAUAUAUAAUAUAAUUUAUUUAUUUUAAAUAGAUUAAUUAUUUAAUAAAGUAUAUGAAUUUUUAUAAAAAUUAUCAAAUUCUUGUUUUAUUACUUUUAGAUUUUUUUUAAUCUAUUUAUUAACUAUGUAACUGAAAACUAAUAUCUACUUGAUAGCAAUUCUUUCCCUUUUAAAAAUAAAAAUAAAAAACCUUUUAUUCAAAAUCAAAUCAAAUCAAAUCCAUAAAUAAAACUUGUUGGGUACGACUCAAUCCACUAUUUGCCUUAUAAAUACUCCUCAGGCCCUUUGUUAUUUUCCUCAUUCACCUCACUCUCUAUUUUCUAACUUCAGUCUCUAUUUUCUAGUUUCAAAAAGGGGUUUAGGGUUAGGGUUUUAACUUGUCGAAAAAGAAAAGAAAUCAAGCUUUUCAAUCAUGGCAUCGACAUCAAUAGUCCUGGAAUCAGCAUCAGCAAAGAAGAAGAUCAAUCUCAAGAGUUCUGAUGGUGAGAUUUUUGAAAUAGACCAGGAAGUGGCGUUGGAAUCACAAACCAUCAGGCAUAUGAUUGAGGAUGAUUGCGCUGAUGACACCGGAAUCCCUCUCCCAAAUGUAACCAGCAGGGUUUUGGCGAAGGUGAUUGAGUACUGCAAGAAACAUGUUGAAGCAGCAGCGAAUUCUGAUGAAAGGCGUCGUGACGAGAAUGAUAUCAAGAUAUGGGAUGCAGAUUUUGUCAAGGUUGAUCAGGAUACCCUCUUUGAUCUCAUAUUGGCGGCAAACUACUUGGACAUCAAGGGUCUGUUGGAUCUUACAUGCAAGACUGUUGCGAGCAUGAUGGAGGGUAAGACAAUGGAGGAGAUUCGCAAGACUUUCAACAUUAAGAAUGAUUACACUCCAGAGGAAGAGGAGGAAGUUCGUCGCGAAAAUCUAUGGGCUUUUGAAUGAAAACAGAUUCAACAAUUAAGUCUAUAAGAUUUUAUUAUUAGAUUAUUAGAUUAGAUAUAGGUUUAUGGGUUUAGAGAGUAAGUUAUGUUUUUAUGCAUUAUUAUAUUUUAACAUCUUAGAGAGUAAUGUUAUGCUUAAUUUAUAUACUUGCUUAAUUUUUUUUCAAUACAUCUGUUGAGACUAAAAUAAUAUUAGUAGUGGUAGUAGCAACACAUUAUAAUAUUCUUUUUAUAAUCACACUCUUGUAUUUGAAAUUUGUUCAAAUUCUGUCAAAUAAAUUUAUAUAGGCAAUGUUUUAAGCUCCAUUAAACAAAGUUUUUCUCUGAUUCUGGAUUUUAUGUUGCGAUUGUGGCAUUGUGCAAUGUUGAAAUAUUUGAUGAUUGAAUUGUAGCAGCAAAACAGUUACUUUGUUCCUGUAAUUACAUUGACUCAGUUUAUACAGUUUAUAGAUUCCUUUUCAACUUUCAAAGAAAAAUAUAGGAAUGGUUUUAUCUGGUGUUAAUAGUUAAUGCACCUUGAAAGUUCAGGGCGUACUUAACUGUCCGUGGGUUCUCAAGUCCAAUGACAGGUCCAAUUUAGGAUUUUCAUCGGAAUCGGCCAGGCCACUUAGAAUUAUUGGAUUUAUUGUUUAGUAUAGCUGGUAGCCUGACAGGUGUAGGUUGUUGUUCCUGAGGUGCAGCUUCAGUCAUUAGGGCUUUCUCUAUUUCAUUCAUACAUUUUGGAAAACUUAUUGAUUAAACUAGGAGAGGAUUGAUGAGUGGAACUUGUCCUGAUAUCUUUAUUAGAUGGCUGGCUAUGUUUUCUAUCAUUAGAUCUUAUGAUUCUUCUUUUGCAAAAUACUUUAACCUAAGCCUCGGGGUAGAAACACAAUUUGGAUCUAAGCCAAGCAGUUUCUUUGUUCUGAUUGAAUUUGUUGUCAUGAGGUAGCAUUACGGACAAUGUAGUCAAGAUCUAGUGUUGGGUCUUAGGACGUGCUAUGAUUAGGACAUGAUCUUUUUCUGGCACCAUUGUGGUCAAGAUCAAGAUCAUCAUACAAGAUUGUACAGAAAUCGUGUUGGGCUUCUGAUUUUGUUGGGCACUUCUUAAACCUUAAAACGUGACAGCUUCCUUCCCCCUUUGUUCUCUGCAACUGCAAGCCUCCUCCUCCUCACUUCGGUUGCGAUAACAUCCUCCGCUCCUCCCUGAGACAUUGUCCUUCACCUCCCCUGUUUUUGUUCUAUUUUACACCUUCUUGCAGCUCUAUUUCAUCUUUUAAUUCUUUCACAACUAUGUAAUGGCUUCAAAUGGUGGGUUAGACCUUAGAUGGUUGUCUUUUGAACUACUUAUUUUGAACUUAAGUAUUUUGAGGAUGAAGGUUAUGCCUGUGUGUAAAUGAAAUUACAGUUUUGCCCUUCGAUAAGAUUUUGUGUGACGUGUUACUAUCCUCGUAUUAUAGUCUUUCACCAGCCUACCGAUCCUAUUUAAGAUCCUAUUUCAUGUUGUAAUGAAAUAAUAACUCGAGAUAGUUAUCUUAAAGCUAUUUGUUCCUAUUUGUUGUGAAUUUGGUUCCAGGAAACGUUUCACAAUUUUGGGAUUUCGAUUUCCAUUGGGUGAUUUGACAAAAGGAACAUUUUUUAAUUUUCUCUAUAACUUUCUUCGUUAGUUUUGGAAGAUUUCACCAUUGUUGUAGGAGUUAAAGGCUCUUGAGCUUGUGAACCGUUUUUCUUUUCUCUCUUCGAUUUUUAUUCAAUAUCACAUGUUUGUUGAUUUCUUACUCUGUCAAAAGCUAGUAACUUUACAGGCUGUGUAAACUAACCUGCAAGUCGUUAUGUGAUUUUGGUAUACACUUCUGAAGUGAACCAAUGUAAUCUAAUAACUGAUCUUCUAAAACAGUGAUUGAUUUCCUGUGAUUGUGGCUUUUCAAAUAUUUUGCCGAGUCGUUGCUUCACUAUUUUGGUAUACUCUUGUAUGGUUCAUUCUGUAUAUCAAGAAGAAUUGUGAUUGGUGUCGUGAUAUUUGUCUUUUGAUGCCGUGAAUUGUCUUUCAACUUUUUUGUGUAUUGGUAGUACGCAUGGCCACAAUCCGAAAUCGGCCAACCCUACCCUUGGAUUUUGUUUAUGUUUUUUCAUGAUCUAUCUUUCAAUGUAGAUUGAGUCAAUAUAACUAGAAGAUCGGUGUUUACCAUCGAUAUCAAAAGCUAUUUCGAUAUUAUGUUAAAAUAUAAUGAAACUUUGACUGCAAUAAUAUAUAUUUUAAAGGGGUAAUUUAAAAAGAAACAAAAAAAACUCCAUGAACACAUUUCUAAGGUUGAAAAUCCAUGCAGACCAUCAAACUUUUUAAAAAUGAUAAUAAAGUAUACUAUAUACUUUUAUUUAGAUGUAAAGAUAACCCGUUUGAGAAUAUUAACUCAUUAUUUGUUUACAAGAAAUAUCAACCAGAAAGUAUCUAAUUUUGAAAAAAGAUCAUGGCAUGUCUAUUGAGCUUGAUAACUUAUAUCACUUAUGAACUUAAAGUCGGAUCCUCCCCUAUGGUGGGCUCAGUGGAUGUUUCAGAUGCAUCAGUAGACUGUACCGAAGUAACCGAAUCGGUUGAAGAAUAUGAAGUUCCCGAAGAAGCUGAAUCCACGACGACUUCUGUAUAAGCUGCAGACUCGGAAACCAGACCCUGCGGUUGUGCCUCAGUAGCUUCACGAGCUGCUUUUUCCUUUGCCUUUUUGGCUCUAUCCAACACUUCUUCCUGUAUCAGAAUUAUUGUUUCAACCAAGUCAAAGAUGUGCAUCUAAAUCUAAAAUAACCCCGCACUAGCGGGGAUUGCAACAUUAUAUUGAUAAUGAUAAUAUCAAACACUAAUACAAACAUGAACAUUAGACAUGAUAAUAAUGACACGUCUUUACUCUGAAGUGUCAGUUCUACAGUUCUACAUUUGAUAUGUAGGAACAUUUCCUUUGUAUUUGAUCCAGUGUUAUGAGGUUUAUGAGGUCACGACUAUUGACUCUUAAAUUGUUUCUUACCUGAAAUUCCUGAACUUGUCUUUGUUGUUCAGCUUGCAGUCUUCCAACAUUACUCAAGAACUCACCAACCGUCGACUCAAUUCUCUCGUUUAGAGUUUCGGCCAAAGCUUUUCCCAAGAAAAAUGCAUCCAGAACAUUUUUGCUGCUGCUAUCACCAUCACCUACAUGAACCACAUACUUUUAAAAACUACAUAAUCAAGUACCUAAAACAAAAAUCUACUGAUAAAUCUACUGAUAGAUAGUUUUCAAAUUUAUGAGUAUGUAAUUUCAAAUUGGGAAAAAACCAAUACUUAAGAAUAGAUUAUUAGUCACCACUAAAUUUAGAGAAACCUAAAUUACCAGUUAAGCAAAAUAAAACCAACUAUGUUAAAAAAAAAAAACAUCUUCAUGCAAUUCAAGAACAAAUAAUUAACAUUGAAACCCACAAGAGAAAGAGAGACCGAUAAAACAAAACUGUUUACCAGAAGGUGGUCCACCGGGGAAGAAGCUACUGUUGCAGCGAAGUCCAGUGGUGUGAAAACCCCUUUUGGUGGGAAGUUGAAUGGACGAGGGUAUGGAAGAAGAUGGUACGAGGAUGUUGGAAAAGAAGGGAGAAAGUGAUGUAUAGGAUUUGGACAACCUAGGAGGUGCAAAGGUUGUUGGAGAUGGGGAAGGGGAGAGAGUAGUGGUGUUCAUUUUCUCUUCUGAAACGCACACAGACACACACUAUUGUUGUGUCUGUGUUUUGUUGUUAAUCCCACACGAGAUGUACAUCGAAAUAAAAAAUAAAAAAAAUCUGCGAUUUUAUUUAAUAAAUAAAAAUAUAUAUAAAAUUAGGAGAUAUGUAAGUAGUAUCCAUUAAAAAGUAUAAUUGAAGAAAAAAACAAUAGUUUAAAUAUAUAAUUACUCUUUGAAAAUGUAUUUUUUUUGUGUGUGAUUAGUCUUGUAAUAUUUUUGUUUGGUUAUAGUAUUUGUAAAUAGAAACUAAAUUGUUAAGUUAUUUUUCAAAAUUAAAAGUUGAUUACUUAUAGGCUUAUGUAAUUACUAAAGGGUUGAAUAUGUUUUCCUUCCUUAUAAAUAACUCAUAAUUCGAUUUGUAAUCCCUAUAAAAAUUUUCAUCAACGAAUGAUCUUCAUAAAAAAUUUCAUCAACGAAUGAUCCACACUUUUGGUCUUUGCCACCUACUUCCUUUAAUGGAAGCUGACGUGCCACGCCAUGUCACUUAAAGUCAACAACAUAGUUGACUAAAAAUACGAUUUAAAUUGCAAAAGUUAUAAACCUCCCUAAAUUCUUUCGAAUAUGGUGAAGUAUUUGUAGUUGAAGUUGUAGCCUCAAAUGCAUGUAUAGCUCUCAGUUUCCCUUUUUCUUUUGUUAUGGCAUUUAUUACACAAACACAAUAUUGGUGAAAAAUAAAGUAUGUCCAAAUGAAAAUGACAACAUGUUCCGAAGUUGUUUGAUAAAAUGCAUGAGAGAAAUGUUUUAAUUGUUAUGGCUAAUUCGGAGGUCAACAUAAUGGAGUAUUUUAAGGAUUUUUCUUAAAAAGCACUAUACAUUUGUUAGAGACACACCACAUACUCACCAAAAACUUUAAGGUGAUAUGUGUGUGAAUUCUCUCACUUAUAAAUACUAAAAUCUCCAUAUUCUUAACUAAUGUGUGACUUUUCCAUACUACUCACAUUUAUAAUUCUUUUUCAAUGUUAACCUAAGAAAAAUUCUAAUGCAACCUCUUCAAUGAGCCUAAAUUUUUCUCUAAUCAAAAUUCUUCUUGCAUUUCCUAAAUCUCAAACACCAGUUUUAUUUUUUUAGUUUUCAUUGUCGCUAUUUUGUUAUGAAAGUACCUUCUAUUUUGAAGAACCGACUUCUCUACCAACCGACACAUACCUAGCCUUCUUUGUUAACUUUUAAUCUUGUUCGAAUCAAUUUAUUUCUCUCUCCAUACUAUUCUGAAAUACAAAUCAAUCAAAGGUAAAAUUUUCAAACUCUUACCAAAGUUAGUCUAGUCUCUGAUGCUUGAAAUAAGAGUGAAUUACAUCUUGGUUUUCAUCUAAUAUCAUAUUCUUGAUGGAUAAGUAUUUCUUUGGGACAUACAUCUUGAUCCUAUUCUUGCAUUCAUGUUUUGACCAAAGGUUCCACCGUCUUUACUUAAGCGCCGCCCGAGUCUAGAUCGAGUGAUUUUCUGAAUAAACGAGCAUGACAAAAUCACUAAAUUAAGGACUAAAUAUCAACGAAUUAUUCUUAAAAAAACUGAAUUUGAUAUAACUGUAAUAUAACCCUAUGUAAAUCUUGGAUAACUAACUUGGCUUAGGACUAGAAAUAGCCAUGGUUUGUACAAGAACUGUUGCUUGAACAUUCUUCGCUUUUCCUUUCGAUAUAACGUGAACUAUGCAAGACACUAGCUACCAUGUAUUCCUCAUACAUGUUUAUCUUCAUUCCACUAUAGUGAUCCUUCAUAUGGAUAUGAUUAUUGAUAUGCUAACUUCCAAUCCCAACUUAGUAUUUGUGUUUCUCAAGAAUUUUCCAAUCCCUGAUAAUUAGUGAUAAGUCUCUUUCAAAUAUGGUCUACAACUUGCAUAUACUUAACAGUUUGAACAUUCAUAUGAAACUAUACCCUAACAUGCACUACUCAUACUCUCUUCAAUACAUUUUAAACAAAAUGUCAAAAUUGAUUGAGCAUUUCGACAAUAUACUUGUUAUCUAGACCAAAUUUCAAGCUAAACAUUUUAUUAAAGAGAGUUCAAUAGCUUCACGAAUUAGCAUGGCAAUACGUUAUCAGGGUGCCCCGAGGCAUUUUGUCGAACAGAUCAGAUGUACGAUCAAGUUGAAAAGGCAUAUUUUUGUUAUAGAUGGCAAUUUCUUUGGUUGCCACCUAUAGCGAAGAUAUCACCGGAGUGAACGAUAUAUUUCUGAUGAGAGGUUGAAACAUAGCUAAAUUAUUUUCUUGAAAGCAUGGAAGAGUUCCUCAAAUUAAGCGACAUUUAACGAAAAGUAAAUAAGGAAAGGUCGAAUAUUUAGCCACCAAUAGAUUUAGGUAGUGACUCAACUUUUUAUAUAUUUUAGUUGUAAUAUAACAAUGUAACACGUUUUUUUUAUAAGUAACGCAUUGCAUAAUGCUAUAAAAUUGAAUGGUAUUUUUUGGACAUUUUUAUUUUUUAAAUUUUAUUAUGCAUAAUUAGCAUGGUUAUAUUCUGCAUAAUUUUUUGAUGGAUCCGGAGAUACAUCUUUAAACACAUCAUUUUUAUUAAUCAGGGGAGCAUCCGAAGACGCUUCUAUGAAAAGACCCCCUUUUUAAAUAAAAAAAGUGGAUCAGGAGAUAUAUCUCUGAAGUAUUCCACUACAAACAUGGUCAAAUAUGUAAGGUUCUUAUUGCUCUAAAACUUCUACAAAUAGGGUCUCUCGAUCCAUUUUUUUUUGCACAAAACAUAAUGACUACAUAUCCCCAUCUUGGAUUUGUGCAUUUCAAUAGCACAAAACUCCACUUCAAUUUCGAUUCUGCAAGGACAUACUUCUUGUCAAUCUGAAAAUUAAAUUGAAUACUCUCUUGUGAUAUUCAAAGAAUUGUCAAACUUGAGUACCAUUCAUCCUCGAUAGACGACAAAGGGAAGAUACCGCUCACAAUGCUUGAACUAAAGACGGCUAAUGAUUUGAAGGUGAUGUAGAGUAUCUUUUACCGUCACUCAACAAAUAAUCUGAUUGAAGUGGAUGCGAUGAUUCAAAGAUCAACCGAAGAUGUUAUAAGAAUGUUGCAAUGUCCCGAACCACCUAUUUUUAAUAACAUGUAAUGUUAAAUUUGAGAAAUGUUUAUCUAUGUAAGAUUUAUUUUGGAUCUAAUUUAUGUUGGUUCAAUUCCAUUCUGCCAUUGUUGUUUCCGUUUGUUUCUAUUUUUUUUAACAACGCAUAUUCUGGAGACACAUCUCUGAAAAUUCACUAAAUACUGAACUAAAGGGGGUAACGAAGAUGCAUCUCUGAAUCAACAUUUAAUGUAUGUAGAGAUGCAUCUCCCAAUCAUUCAUUUUUUACGAAUUAGAGUUUUGCACCAAUUUUACUCUAGUUGUGUAUGGAAAAAUACGUCAGAAAAUGAAUCUUCAAACGCUGAAAAUAUUUUAAUCUUUUCACGAUGGUGUGAAAGAAUGACUUAGGAUGGAAAGAGAAUCUCUCAUAUAAGUUGCCCUCAUUUAAGAUCCAUGCAGACCCCUGUGACCAACCUCAAAAGAAUGCCUUCUAUGGUGACAGCGACAGCUUAAGGUUCUUGAAACAAUUAGUGGCAGCACUCCUCAUCACUCUGUUUUUUGUUUUUUAAUUGAUGAUCUAAUUUUACAAAACUAUUUUUGAAAAUUAUUCUCUAUUUAAAAUAUUAAAAACUAAAAAAUUAAAAUAGAUUUUAGAGUUUUUUAUUUUAGUUUUGAAAAUUACCGAGUGAAAAAAAAAACAAAGAAAAAUAAUAUACUUUUCAAUAAUAAAAAAUUCAUAAUAUUAUUCAAUUUUAAAAUAAUUUUAAAAGUUAGUUUACCAGAUAUUAUAUUAUAUUUUAUUUCAUGGAUAGUCAUAAAAGCAUAUGAAAUUGCAGAGCCACCAUUUGUUAUUGGGGAAAUUGGUGUACCCGUAAAAUUGAGUGAGAGAGAUAGUUGAUAUAUAGUGUAACUGGUGCAAUGGAAUAUUAAUUUGUAUAAAAGCUUUGUAUGUGUAAGUUAGAUUUACAAGUAUUGGAAACAAUGGAAAUAUUAAUUUGUAUAAAAAGCUUUUUCUUUUCAACCUUGGACAAAGGAUGAAGGCAAUUAUGAUAUUGUACCGUCUUUAUAAGUUGAUAUUUCACAGCAAAAUUUUAAGCUAAUCAAACCGCUCCCAAUCUUGAGAUACUUUUGUUGAAGAUGGUGUUGUGGCUGAGGAAGGGUCGUUAGAGUCUUCUGUUACAGUAUCAAAGGUUUCCCAAUGAGUUGUUCCUGUGGCAGCACCACCACUUUGGCCGGAAGGGUUGGAGUUUCUAGCCUUUAGAGAAUCUAACAUAUCAACCAGGCCCUGCACACGACGCACCUGUAGAAGUAUAGAAAAGGUCGUGUUCAAUAUUUAAAUCUCCACAUUGCAUCUUUGCCACAAAACUUAAAGCAAUGUCAAUGGUAUAAAAGCUACCUCAGCUUUUCUCUGCAACUUCGCUUCGCCUUCAGCCUCAAUACCAUCCAGUUUCAGCAAUUGUUUCAUAAGCAACUCUGUCAACAAGAGAAACUCUUUCUCAGAAGCCUUGUCCCCUGCAUUGAUAGCCACUUCCAAGACAGACACCUGAAAAAUUACAAUUUCGAUAUUAUUAUUUCCCAAUUAAUAUGUUUAUACUAUGAUAGAAUAGCUACAUAUUUCAAAAACAUGCUUACUCUAUCAGAGAGCUUGUCCACCUCAGCUCUAACACCAGUAAUAGCUUCAAUAGCUUUAGACAUCUCAUUGAGUUUUCGGGUUUCCUCAAGCUUCUUCUCUUUGCUAGCAGCACGCUCCAAAAGCAAAAUCUUUGACUUAUCCUUCACACCUUCCAAGUGCAAUUUCUCCCUAUCAUUCUUUUCUAUUCCUCUGAAGAAAAUUCGUUGUUGUUCAGACUCUAAACCAGUUUUAUUUACAAGCAAUUUUUUUAAAUCUCCUGUUAUUGAAAACACAAACAAGAUAAACACAUAUAUCAAUGACAAGAUGCGACUUUAUUAAAGAAUCGGUAACUCGAGUCUAUAAGACGCAACUAUUGAUGCAGAAGUUUUGUCCCUUUGAGCUAUUUAAAAGUUACACUAGUCCGGUAAAUAAUUUGAAAACUACAAUUUAAUGAGUCUAAAGGUCAUGCACACUAAUUAAGGAAAAAACCCAAAUAUUUUCCCUCUUUUUCUUCAAUUUUGAAAAAGGGUCAGCACUCUUCAAACACAAAAACAUUUUAUUGUGAAGUAACCUUCAACAAUUAUGUACAGAGGAAAGAAUCGUGAAAAGUAUGGUGUAGGUUCACAUUGCAACAACCUACUCACAUCAUAAGUGCAGUAGAGUAACAUAUUCGGUUACUUAUAAGGAGUGGGAUUGAAAGGAAAGGCCGGCAAGAGGAACAAGCAGGAAUGGGCAACAACCUAAUAUCUACCGCUUAAGAAAAAAGGAAAACAAUAUCUAACUUUCUAGCUAUGACACAAUUGGCAAAACAUGUUAAUGUUUAAAUAUCUUGAACCAAAAACUUUUUUUCAAAUAAAACCAACUUCGUAAUAUAAGAAACUCAUAUCAAGUAUUUUAUCAUUAUGAAUCAAGUUCUCUUACUCUCUAACAAUACCUUUUAAACACAUAUCACUAAAUAUUCACAUCAUGAUUUAGGCAAUCAAUUGUUGUGAACCAACAUUGUCUACAGUAUGCUUAUUUGAGCAGUUUGAUCGCAUUUCCUUUCAGAGAAGUCAAUCCCAGAUAGCGGCACGGAGCGGCCGACCCCAAAACCAGAAUAGCGGGAUGGCCGCUAUUUGAUCCUUUUUUGGACAAAUUACAUGAAUAAUAAUUAUAAACAUAUGAAGUACAGAGGGAAGAACGAAGUGCCGAGAGGGUCAGGGAAGAACUUGAGAUUUUUCUUUGGAAUGGCUGAAGUGUAGAAAGGUCGGUAAAGGAAGGUUAGGGUUGAAUCUCAACUCAAAUUUGAUUGAAAAAGGACUAUUUAGCCUAUAACGGCCACUAAAGUGUUAUCCACCGCUAAGGCUCUUCCCAUUGCGGACAGCCUCCCCUACGCCCCGUUAUAGCGGGAUAGCACCGCUAUUGACUAUUCUGUUUCCUUCCCGGUUUGAGCGGCUUAAAACAAGUGAGCUAUGACUUGGAUGUCUAUUAGGUUUGAUGUUUGGUUUUUAAAGCAUUGAACUUAGCCAAUAAACCUUUUAUUUCAAUUUCCACCACAAAUCCAACAAUUUCUAAUCUAAUAAUUCAAGCACAACACCACAAACACUAAUCUAAUAAUUCGAUCACAACACCACAAACAACAUGGGAAUGGAUCCCCUACUAUUAACGUGUGAUAACUUUCAGCAGUCUGAUCCAGUUUAUAUUCUACAAUGUAGUUUAACCUAACUUAAGGGUGACAACAGUAAGAUUACAAUUCAUCCGCAGAGAGUUUCUACAGCAUACAAUUGAGUUAUUCCACCACCGCAGGAAAUGCAGGUACCAUAAACAAAUUAAAAGUGUUUAGAUAUAAAUAAUUUGAACUUAAGAGAUUUUAAUAAAAAGCAUAACUAAUGGUUGAAAAUGAAAACUAUAAUGUCAAAAUAGUUUUUCAUUAAUACGUCCAGAAACUCUGUUUUCUCACUCUUCUAUCAAAAGCUUUACACAUAACUUCAACAUAAAAAUAAUCUUUUUUUUAAACAAUCUUAAACAAAUGGACUCGAACUCGUAAUCACUAGUGUCACCGUUUUUGGUAUCUUCGCCGUGAUUCUAAACACUUCACACUCAAGUCUAUAAAUACAAUGACAAAACCGAAAUUAAAGUCAUAAACAAUCAAAUUCGUUAAUUAUCGAAGAGGAGUCGUGGAUUGAAAGAGAGAGAGAGAGAGAGAGAGAGAGAGAGAGAAAGAGAGAGAGAGAGAGAAAACUCACCGAAAGUUGAUUGGGCUGGGAGAUGGAUCUGGUGAAGAGAUGAACCGUAAGAAACAUUGAUUUUAAGAGAGAGAGAGAGAGAGAGAGAGAGAGAGAGAAAGAGAGAGAGAGAGAGAAAACUCACCGAAAGUUGAUUGGGCUGGGAGAUGGAUCUGGUGAAGAGAUGAACCGUAAGAAACAUUGAUUUUGAUUGUGGGUCCACCGACUCCGUCGCUAUCGGAUAAUCUGCCGGAUUUCGUGUCUGGCGAGAUCUCGACGGACUGUGCCGGCGGCGAGGCGCCGGCAGUGUCUGAGAAGCUGUUCAUGAAGAGGCGGUUUGGUAAAACGCAAAGAAACGGUGCGUUUUGUGGAAGGGGAAAGAAUGGGUUUUUUUGUUAUAUAGUGGACUGAGAUUGACUCGAGGCCCGGUUUGUUUUUUUAGAGAGAACGUUGAUCCACGUCAUCAACUUUUCGGUCUUUUUAAUAUUUGAAAUGAAUUUACGAUAUUUUUACCAUGAUCGGUUCGAACAAGAUAAGGUUAGAUUGAUUAGGUGCAGGAAGUUGUUGGAAGCCUCGGUUUGCUAGAUUUCUCGACACUGCACAUGCUGUUGUUAUUCGCCUCGAUAUGAACCUUUAUUUGAUAGGGUGUUGUUGCUUUGAGAACUAGUGGACUGUCCAUUUCCUAUCAUAGUUUAUGUUUCAAUUAUGAUUUUCAUAAGCAGAAACACAUAAUUAUAGAAAAAAUUGAAGAAGAAAAAUCAAAAACUAAAACACAUAAACAAAAACAUAAUUGCAUAAACAAAUGAACAAAAACAAUGCAAUGCAAAUGAGCGAAAGAGACACACCAAUUUCGUAAAGGCAAACACAACUAAGUAAUAAAACCUAUAAAGACAAUGUUCACAUAAGUUUAUUUUCCUAAUUUCAAAAGACAUUAACAUAAAGGGCUAGGUACACUGUCGAGGGACAAGUGAUCCUGCGAAAUCAAAGGUCGUUUGAAAUUGACCAUUAUACCCCUGAACGUUUCUAAUAGGCCCUCCAGUUGAGCUUCACCUGUCUAAAUUAACUCCACAUUGUACCAUAUAAUUAAUUAGACUUUAUAUUACAAUUAUUUAUAAAUAAUAUUUUUCAAUUGUUUUUUAUCUUGAUGGUCAGUUAGAGGGAUGAACUACAAUAGGUGUCUGAAACACGCUAUAGUAGUCUAUCGCAAUCUAUUGGAUCACAUUGGACCAGACGAUGUAAUACUCCUACAUAAUUCUAUUUUAAUUUAAAAUUACUUAUCAAAUUAUUUAUCAUCUAAUCAUGUCGUAUUGUUGUGCAGAUUAUCUAGAGGCUAUAUCUGGGUCUUGAUCAUCAGGUUAUCCAUGAUGAUGCUGCAGUUUAGACAGCAAAGACACCAAUUAUUCGGUUCACUACUAUGGAGAUGCACUAGAGUGGCCGGAUAAAAGUGCAGUUCGACAUGCAGCAACAAAUUCAAGAACCUCUGACGUGUUUGGGAGAUUGACAUCAAAAAAGAAUCGAUGUCCAAUGAGAUUAUUCCGACUAGAGAGACUUCAGAAAAGAGAUGUGUCGUCAUUGGAGGAAUCGACGACAACACAUCUUAAAUGAACCAGGCAUACAUGAUGCUAGAUCAACUCAACAAUAUAUGACAUAGUUUAGGUCGGUUACAAUGCAACAAUUUAUGUCUGAGUCAAGGUAUUUGAUUGAUCCACGCCAACUAGCUUCAUCAUCAUAUGCCCAAAAAUAAGUCCUCGUCCAACACCAAUGUCAAACCACCCAAAUCCAACAACCAACCUCACACCAUCCGUACCACAUACAUCCAACUUCGCAACACAUUCAUGCCAAACACCCAACCUCGCAAUCCAUUUAUGCCACCCACCCAACCUCAAAACCAAGAAUCAAACCCUACCCACCAAUAACCAUACGCAGCCACCACAACAGUCUAUAACCUAGAUGAUUCAUACGAUUCACUUCAUCAUAGCCCCUCACUAAUGACCACCCAAACAUCUCAUCACCACAACAUCCAAUCAUCGUUUAACUAUAGUACACCACCAGGAACCAUUACUUCGUUUCUAAAACGAUUCAAUGUCCCAAUCCGGACAACUAUACCAUCCAUAAUUCACCCAACCACAUCGAUCCAACUACGACAACAUGGGCACCGAAUUACAUUACGGAAGCGUCGUUGGUCAGAGCCCCGAGCUAUUGGGAACAAAUGAUGACAUAUCUAUCAAAUACCGUUGGACCUUCCACCGGACCUUCACACCAGCCACCAUUGGAUCAUGUCAGCACUUAAAGACCUCAAACACCUCAGGAAAAUCGUGGGAGACCUCGAAGACAGACUAACGCACCUAGAUGUGGAAUAAGGGAACAUUUUGAUCGGGCCGAUCAUUGAAUUUUUGGUGAAUUCCAUGUAAUUUUUAUUAUAACAUAAAUAAUUUUUUUCAAUAUCUUAUUUAAUUAAUUGUUAAAUAAACCAUUAAAAAUAAAAAAUAUAUAUUUAGGUGUACGCGCCAGAUGAAUUGGCGCAUACACCAAUGCACAUGCACAUGCGCCAUGGUUGUUGGCGCCUCCAUGCAAUGCUUUGAAAGCAUGCGCCAACAUCAGUGGCGCCUCCUCUUCAUAUUAAAUGGAUGCGCCAGUUGAUCUGGCGCAUCUGUUUGGAAAGAUGGUUAUUCCGAUAAUUUUUUUGAGUAAAUGGUUAUUUCAAAAAUUAAUUUGAAAAAUAUGGUUAUUUAAAAAAAAAUCACACUUACUGCCUUAUCAGACAUAUAAACUUCUAGACAUUCACUGAAAGAUCAUUGUCAUCUUAUUAAGCAUAUAGUUGUUGAAUCUUCAUUGAAGGAUCAUUUUCUCCUUAUCAAACAUAUAAUUGUUGGACCUUCAUUGAAGGAUCGUUGCGGCCCUAUUAGACAUAUGAUUGUUGGACCUUCACUGAAGGAUCAUUGUUGCCUUAUCAGACAUAUGAUUGUUGAGCCUUCAUUGAAUAAUCUUUUCCGCCUUAUCAGGCAUAUGAUUGUUGGACAUUCAUUGGACGAUCUUUUUUGCCAUAUCAUACAUAUGUUUGAUGGGCAUUCCCUGAACGAUCCUUGCCGCCUAAUUAGUCAUACGAUUGUUGGAAUUUCACUAAAGGAUCAUGUUUCGGGCUUACCAAAAGGCCCAGAAAGCGAAGGUCUAAUAGCAAAGAAAGAAGCUACCACAUAAAUUAUAGGUAAGCUUUAUGUCAUCCAUCUUGUAGAGUAUCCCUCACGAGGUUGUCAUGCCUGAAGUUGCAUGUCUCUGCUAUAUUAAGAGAGAGAGAGACCAUACAAGUCUCUUAUAUAUAGUUUUGUUACUUGUCUCUUAAGCUUUGUUUUGGUUUUAGUUUAUAUCAUUGAGUCUCUUCUUUAAUUGCACAGUUUUGGAUUGAGUUUUGGAUCCGUAUUUUAUCAUGCAUAAUUCAAUUCAUUUAUGUUUGAGUAUGAACAUUUUGCUUUAAGUUAAUUAGUUAAGUUUUUGGAACAAGAACCAUAUUUGAGAUUGGUUCAAGUCAUGUCACAAGUAAAAUCUCAAAACAUCUUUUGAAACUUCAAAAAUUAAGAUUUUAGGUGUGUGAUUCGAAUCACACAUCUUAUGAGUCAAAUCAAAGCAAACAAAGGUGUAACAGGAAGUUUGUGAUUCUGUGAGUCGAAUCACAUGUUACACAUGAUUCGAAUCAUGUAACUUUGCGACUAAAAUCACAAGUUACACAUGAGUCAAAUUGUGAAACUCAUGUCAUCCCCUACCUUGUUUGAGUCGAAUCAUGGCUUCUUCAUGACUCGAAUCACAUUAUACACUUGACUUAAAUAAUAGCAAAAUGGGUUUCUCAUAAAGUGUAAAUCUUGUUUCACAUUACUUUGUCACUUGACUCAAAUCGAACAAGUGUUCAUGACUCGAAUCAAACAUGAUUUUUCACUACUUUUUGUGCUUAAUAUCCAACACCUAUAAAUCAUUUUUUUAUUCUCAAAUCAUUCACAAUAUUAGAAAACACAUUCUUCCAUAAUUGAUUUGUAAACUCACAAACCACUUGUCCUUUCAUUUUUCAAAAGAGCUUUGGAUCUCUUGUGAAUACUUGCAACCAAUUUCUUUCAUCUUCUACCUCUUUUUUUUCAAUGUUGCAUUGAUCUGAAUCUUAUCUUGUAAGAUUCAUAAUUUUUGAGGAGAUUUGUUUUUGAAUUUAACUUGUCUUUGAAUAUUUGGUUAAGGUUUUAGAGGCUUGCAAGGGUGUGUGGUGUUGUGACUAGUUCUGACGAUUUCAAUGGAAAAGAUGGAGGUUCUUCUCACUAGAUUGACCUUGAUAGUAUUGUGUGAAAUCCUACAUAAAUGUUAUGGGUUCUUCGCAAUCUUCGGACAGGCUAACACUCAAGAUACUAAUAGAUUCGAGUAAAGAUUGCCACAGACUGAGACUUAGGAUAAGGUUGUUAGGGCUGGAAGAUUCACUAAGGAAAUUGGAGUAAAGAUUUCGCAUAAAGUUCAAUUCGUGAAGCUGUGUACAAGUCAAAGAUCCAGAUAUAAGAAAUUUAUUUUUAGCAUUUAUUUUGGAUAUUGUGAUUGUACGAACUCAUUUAAUUUUUGUCACAAAUUUUAUUGAAAGACCAAUUAAUUUUCAAUGGGCAACCAUUGGAGAAUGGAUUAAGUACAAAGUGAGGACUAACAUGCCAAACCACUAUAAAUAUCGGUGUAUUAUCUUCUCUCUAUCUCUCUCACAUUUAAUUUUGUAGUUAAUCACAUGUUUAAGUUGUUCUUUAUUUAUUUCUAGAAUUACAUGUCAUUAGGAUUUUAUCUAUCUCUCUCUCACUUAAAACCGGGGUUGUAGAAUCUUAUCGCUAUUGAUAAUUGUAUAAUAACACUACUUAUGUAAUUGAUCAAUUACCCAAUCCAAAGCUAGUUUGUUCAUUUGGUUUGAUUUGUUAUCAAUCUUGAUUGUAUUGUGGGUUGUUUAAGUAUCUUCUUGUUAAUUCUAAUCAAUAAGCAUAAUUUCUCUAUUCACCAAAAUUGUUUUCUGCUACGUAAAAUAAAGUUUAUUUUUGAAAAUCUAAUAAAAAAAAUUCAAAAUACUUUUCAAAGAAAUUUUAACUUGGGAGGUCUAUUCACCCCCUCUAGAGCAUUUAUUGUCCAUAUUCUCACCCAACAAUGCCAACCUCCCAAAUUAAUCCAAUGGUUGGCCGCAUCCCACUCCAUUCCCCACGUAUGCAAUUACAACCCAUUUAUCCAUUUUAAAAAGGAAAACAUGUCACUUCAUAGGCACUCAAAUUGUUUCUUAUUCAAACUUUACUUCUUACUCUCUUACUAACUUGAGGGUUGUAGUGCUAACCUUGCUGGUCAUCCUCCAUCUCUACCGCAUCACCUAAAACCACUCCCACAUACCCUAAUUUCACUCUCUCUGAUCAUCAUAUAGUUCUAGAAAAGAAAAUUGGCUUCGCCUGUGGAGAUCAAAUCCUGAUUCAUGCGAUCAACAUGAUCUCUAUUUUCUCGAUUCAACCGAAUCACCUCCAAUAGAAAUCUAUACCUUCUUCAACCGAAGCAUAGAUCUCCAUUCCAUGAUCAAUUCUAUCUAGUUUAGAUUCAAACGUUUCACCACUAAAUUCAUCCAUUGGAGGAUUCCAAAUCCACUAGCUCCAUUGUCUAAUAGAAAGUCACUGUAGCUGUCGAAGUUUCUAGGAAUCCUCCUUAGUGGAUGUAUGAUCGAAUCCUAACAAAUAAUUCAUUCACUCCUCCGCCACAAAUACAUGUGCAACCUAGAACGUAUCAAGGAACUUCUUAACCUCCUGUAUUCCUUAGAUCUACAAUGCAGUUCCAUCUAAGAUAACGUUCAUUCUUACCUUUGCUAUCGCCUAUGAUGUUCGAACGAGAGGUGUUCCCCAUCUUUUAGAUCUUGCAAGAUAAUCUUGUCCUACAGUGAUCCAAUGAACCAUUUACCAAUGUGUAUCUGAUGGUUCAGCAGCAGUACUUCCAUGCCUUGGCAGCAAUACUAACUGAAAUCGAAUAAAGUCUACAUAACACCCAACCAUAGAAGAAGAACCCUUUGUCCACUCACAUCUUGGAUAGAAUGAUCGCGAAGUCACUGGAGAAGCCCCUGAAGCUCCAGAGUUAUAAAGAUACUGAAUAAAAUUAUGUUCUUAGGAGGACAAAUGUUGGACCACAUGCAUGGGAAAAUGUGUACAAGUGGUUUAUGACAAAUAAUAGAUUAUGUGGACAGAUGUCAGACUCGAUGUCUGGGACAUUGUAUACUAGAAAGUAAAAAUCAGUUACACAACCAAAUUAUGACAUAUUAACUUAUAUAAGAUGAUGAAGCAAAAAAGCAAUGAAGAACACAAUAAUUGUUAACCCAAUUCAAUGUAAACCACACUUACAUCUGGGGGAACUCUACCCAAGAAAGGAAAUUCAGUCUUAUAUAAAACUAGUACAAAGUAUCUUAGAUGAACAAGCCUAUUGUUCAAUGCCUCUUCUUCUUAAUUCUACCCUAGUGUAUUUAUAUUUAGGACUCCCUCUAAAUAUGAGAACCCCCUAUCACUUUCUCUCAAUCAAUAAUCCCAAGUGAUCAACAUCAAUAAACACAAUAUUGAGUGUUGAAUUAAAACUAAAUUAAACAAACCAACUACUACACUUUAUGAAUGAAGCAAUAACAUGGUGUACAAUUAAUACAAAUACUUUGUUCUCAAGCUUAUAGAUUUAGUAUCUUGGAACAAAGUUUUACAACUCAACUAACAAACCAAACUAUAUGCCUUAAGAUAUGAAUUCAGGCGUUAUAAUGGUGCACAACAAUAAUUUAAACAAAGACUCAAAAAUAGAAAAACUAACACAAAGAGUCUUCAAAACAUGCACACCUCAAACACGAGGUUUGAGUCUCCUUAAAUACCAAUCUAAUUCUGGGCUUUUCCAAUGGGCGUUAGCAGCUCUGAUUUCGUCCAGAAUUGUAGCUGAUAUAGUUGGAUUUGAUUUGCUCCACAAAAUUCUCCAACAAAAGAUAUGAUUUAUUAUUAAUUAAAAUUUAAAUUUAAAUCUCCAUUUAAAUCUAUUUGAUAUUUAAACAAAUGCCAAACAAAUCACAAAACACAUUUCUAAACAAUAGCAACAAAUAUGAUUGAAAUCCAUUCAAAAAAUUCGCUCCAAACUACAACAAGUUGGACCUGUUGUCAAGGGCCAAAUAUUGCACUGCACACACACUAGAACAUCAUGUUCCACAUUUUGCACCAGAACGUCUAAAAUUUUGGAUUAAAAAUAUGAACCGAAAAUUCCUUCAAAGCAAGUCCAGUCAAAUAUUAUUUGACUAAAUCAAAUUCAAAUAUUUUCAAAUCGAUUUGGACUAACAAACUUCUUCCAAAAGUAAACUUCUGCAUCUUUUGAAAAAGUUAACUCCACAACAAUUCUUAAGGAAAUCUAAAGAUAAUCAGAACUCAAUACUUACACAAAGAUGUCACAUAACAUGUGCUGAAUAUAUUGCUUACAAUGAGGUCUUUCUGUCAAGCAUUUAACAAAACCUUGGACUGAAUAAAUCUUCUUAAAAGCAAACAUAAUCAUGCUCAUAUUUCUUCAUGGAAUCUAGAUAAUAGACUGAGGCCAGAUGAUGGAACACAUGCUGGAACAUCUUGUUCUACAUGUUGCCUCUACACAAAAUACAUCUUGUACAUGUGUUGUUUUACCUAAUCCAGACAAUCAAAAGGAACAACACUGGAGAUCAGAAUCAGCAUGUCGUGCACGUAGAUGAUCGAUUGGACUACUACCAUGCCAACCGAGACGUGGAGUGAAAACUCUUUGCACUAACCUUUAUUAAAUCAACCAUACCCUGGUAUAAGUCUAUUUUGGAUGGAAUUAUAGAUUCUUAGCCCAACUUGUGUGAGGCCUUUGCCUCCCAUUUCACUACUAAGAAAAGGACACCAACAACUAUGAUCGUGCUUAGCACGGUCACGCGGGGUGAUAAGGAAACCCUAUACCGCUAUAUUGAUCAUUUUACCAAGGUAGUUGUAAGUGUUGAAGGAUUCGAUGAGAGUCUGACGUAAUGGAUUUUUUAGAAGGGUCUUCGAUCGGACUAUGCAUUCUAGGAGAAGUUAGGAUGCAAGAAGUUCUAUAAUCUAAAGGAUUUAUUGAGUUAGGUGCAGCCGUACAUCAACUAUGAAGAAAAUAAGUUGGCCGACAGAGGUAGACGGGUACUAGAGGGCAUGGGAUAUGUCAGACCAUUAGAGAAAAACUAUAGGUGGUCCAAGGAAGAAAAUAAACGCAGACCCCACUAAAGGUUCAACAUGUAUACUUCCUUGAAUACUUUAAGGGAGAGGAUCUUGAAGGAGUGUGCCAACACAAAGUUUAAGGAGGUCGGGAUAAAGAUCCCAUAUCCAGUCAAGGAGUCUGCAUGGACAAACAUGUCCAAGUAUUGUUGUUUUCACAAGAAUUAUGACCACAACACCAACUAUUGCAUCAAAAUGAAGGAAACGAUUGAAAGGUUAACCAAUAAAUGGAGGUUAUCUGAGUAUACCAAGGAUGGUAAAAGGAAUUGAGAAGAUUCCCUCAAGAGGUAAGCACUGGAGAAGAUGAAAGGCACAAGGGGAAGCGUCAGUGCAUCGCUUCCAUCAUGGGAGGUUCUCCGAAGGUAAGCAAUUCGUCCAAGAGUACAGUAAAAAUGGAGACUAUUGAGCUAAUGGUCGUCAGCAAUAAAUAGAGGAUCACCUUUACCAAGAGCCCGAAGAGACCUAUCCUUGAAUUUCAGGAUAGCGAAAAGGUUGGGGGAAGAUCCUGCGACAUUAUGUAGUCAAAUCUCUUUGAGAAGAUGAGGUUGAAGAAAGAAAAGUUGUGGUCAUAUGAGGGGCCUGAUCUACAGGCCUUCUGUGAAUCUAUGUGCUUGCAAGUAUGACAUAUGCAAUGAUCUAUUUGGUUUUUAUGUUGACAAUGCUCUUAAGAGAAGUUUCAUCAGUCCUGUUUUUCAAGGCUUAUUGAUUUAAAUGAUGACUAGUGAAGAUGUCAUAUGAUAUGAUGAUCAAGUGGUAAUGCUUAAAGAUCAAGGUGUCAUCAAAUUAAUUUGUGGUAGUCAAGUUAUGACAAUGUGUGUUGCUUGGAGGUCAAGAUAUCAAAUCCUUUAUAUGGAUGACAACACCUUAUAUCAAGCAUCAUUUGGUGAAGCCAACAAAGAUUCUAACCAGUUAAUGUGUCUAGUGAUGGUGUUUAUCAUGAAGGGUUAUCUAAAGCCUCAUUAGAAGAAGAUUCAAGGUUCUAGUGAAGUAUUAAAGUCAAGAAAGCUUCAAAGUUAUGAAAGAGAGGAAGUGUAAAAACUCGUCGAGUCAGUUUCAAGUGAUCAAUACCUGUAAAGGUAUAAGGAUAACUCUCGAAUUUAUUAAGGAAAAUCACAGACACAUUUUUACCAUUGUGAAAAGCAUGUAUGUUUUAUUAAAAUUUCCAGAAAAUGUUUUUGUGCCUAGCUAAUUCGCUAAGACUUUUUUUGUGCAUUGUAUAAUCGAUUAGCCCUUAGGCUUAAUCGAUAUCCCUUAUUAUAAUGUGUCAUAAUUAACUAUUAGCGUUUCACGCAGCAGGUCUAUCACAUCUAAAAAUAUAUGACCUCUAGAGCGUUCGCGCGCUCGCGGAAUGUCAUUGAACAGAGUCGCCACCGAACUUUAUUUAUUCCAAAGAAGGAAGGGAAAAUAUUGAUAGAACCCUUAAAAGAAAAAGAGUAUGAUCGUCACAACCAAAUUCGAGUUUGAGAGUCUGAUGACAGUCCAUCAUUGCAUGAAAUUUGGCAAAGAAUUGGAGAAAAAUAAGCGAAAGAUGAGCCAAAAGGAAGAACAAAGACCCAAGAAUGAGGAGAAAAUAGCUAAGUGUGAAGGAAUUGUACUUAGUAAAAAUUCAAGUAAAGAAAGAGCUUUUUGGUGCAGCUACUGGAAUAAUCAUGCGCAACAUCGCACGCGCGAUAAGGAUGUACUAGUUACAUCGUGCACGAUACAUAUUUAAUGCGCCCGAUACUGAUUUUUUCUAAGGGUUACAAAUUUUGGCAUAUGAAGUACAAUUUUUACAACAUCAAGGGUGAUUUUAAGAGCAUUGGAAGUCAUUAGAGGCCAAUCCCUCAAGGGAAUUCAUAUGUUAUUCUCAUUAUUUCAAUUGGUAUUGUAAAUUGAAUGAGUAUCUAAACUCCUCUAUGUUAGGUUGUGUGUGAUGAACCUUUUUCUCUAUUGUUGGAUUAUAUGUUAAUUUGACUUUGAAUGAACCCUUUGAUCUUUAAUUCUAUACAAUUAUUUAUUAUUCUUAAAGCUUUUUAUUUGAGAUACUUUAUUAAACUGAUUUCGGGUACAUAGAGAAUAUUGACCCUUAGCCUAUGUGUUUGACCUAGGGCAAUUGUGAUACUUAUGUUAGAACAAGAUUUGGUUCUGCAUCUAUAUCUUGAGUUUUAAUGAUAAAAAUAUUGUAUUUGUGUGUGAACUGGUACUCUAAUGGUUUGUGUCACUACACGAAAAAUAUAGAGUCACCAUCGGUUUUUAUUUAUUCCAAAGGAAAGGGAAAAAUAUCGAGAAAACCUCAAAGAAUGGUCAUCGCAACCACGAACAGGUUCAGAAGUCGGUUAUGCAAGGGGAAGGUAUUAACAUCCCUCACAUCCACGGUACUCCAUGGGAACCAUCUAGGAUAUUUGCGCUUACGUGUGUAUUCUUUUAUUGCUUUAUAGCUACUCCUUAGGCAUUAUGAGCGAUCACUCUUUCACAACCAAUAAUCAAACCCUUAAUCCAACGUCAAGCAGUCUUUUUUCCAAAUUAAACUCAAAAAACACAAUAAAUGGCGAUUAGGAUUGUAAGCAACGAGCCUUAAGUGGUAAAGAAGGGAUGAGACUGGAGCUUUCCUACACUCAUCCUGAAUGCUUCGAACACAAGACGUUUGGUUUGAUAGUUUGAGGUAUUCACCUUUAUCCAUAGUCUUUAGUGCAAUCCAAAAUCAAUAACACUUUCUCAAAACCUAAAAACAAUUCAACGCAUUCAAACCUUUUGUUUGAUCCUUAGGGCGACACACUCGAAAACCCUUCUUCAAGGUAAUAAAAUCAACAAAACACACAAACAUUUUAAAAACCCACGAACUACGGGACUCUGAUUUCUCACUUCAACAAAUGGGCAUACGUAGGCACAAAGACCCAAUCCUUGGCGAGCACACUAAUUUAAAAUCUACCUCCACUCUGCAAACCUUUGGCAAGCAAGCAUUCGAUAAACAAUACACACGUAAGCGCAAACAUCCUAGAUGGUUCCCAUGGAGUACCAUGGAUGCGAGGGGGGCUAAUACCUUCCCCUUACAUAACCUACUUUCGAACCUGUUCGUGAUUGCGAUGACCAUUCUUUGGGGUUUUCUCAAUAUUUUCCCUUUCCUUUGGAAUAAAUAAAAAUCGAUGACGACUCUGUAUUUUUCGCGUAUCGACAACUGGCGACUCUGCUGGGGAUAUAUGAUCUUCUCGCACAACAGGUAGCAACGUAGGCAUAAGGACCCAAUCAUUGGCGAGCACACUAAUUUAAAAUCUACCUCCACUCCGCAAACCUUUGGUAAGCAAGCAUUCGAUAAACAAUACACCCGUAAGCGCAAACAUCCUAGAUGGUUCCCAUGGAGUACCAUUGAUGUGAGGGGUGCUAAUACCUCCCCCUUGCAUAACCGACUUCCGAACCUGUUCGUGGUUGCGAUGGUCAUUCUUCGGGGUUUUCUCGAUAUUUUCCCUUUCCUUUGGAAUAAAUAAAAACCUACGGCGACUCUGUACUUUUCGUGUAGCGACACAUGUGACAUUCAAAAAUUGUCACUAAAAGCCAAUAAAUUCAAAUAUUUCAACAUAGGAAGUUUCACUUCAUAUACUUGGAAUCUUACACAAAAGAAAUCAAAUAUAUAAAUCUUAUAAAAUAAAUCACAUAUAUUUGUAUUUUAAUAUUUUUUGUGUCUUCACUUUCAUAUAUCUAUAAUUUUGAAUAGUCAUAUAUCUUUACUUUCACACAUCUGAAUUUAAAAUAUUCCUGAAAUAAUAAAUAAAUAUUUAUUAAAAUAUAUACUUAAAAAUAACUCCAUUUACAUAAAAUCUUAAAGGAGAAAAACAACAUUAGAAUAUAUUCUAACUAAAACUAAAUAUGACAAUAAUUUUAUAGUGCAAGUUAAUUUACAAGAUCUGACAUAACAAAACGAAACGAAACUUAAUCUACGUCACUCAUAUCUAGUGGUGUAAAGUGCAUAUGGAAAGUAAAAGUUGGCAGCAAAGAAGAAGAAACCUGAAGAAGAAUGAAUGAUGUCGGUGAAAAGGUGGUCGGAACCGCGAUAGCAAUCAGCGGCGUUGAUGGUCCAGCCAGUUCGAUCAAUGAAUCUUUCAGAAGAUGUUAAGUUAACGUUGAAUUGAAAUGGAACAAAAAUGAAAUUGUGAAAAUGAGAUAUUCCAAAAACACACAAAAACUCUUAUCCAACUUAUCAAUUUUUUUGUUAAUUUUUUAAAAAUAUUUUUUAUUAAAUUAAUGGGAUACCAAUAAUUGAUUUAGAUUAACAACUAAGAAAAUUAGAAAGAAAUGUAAAUAAUGUGUAAUCUAAAAUAGUUAAAUAUAAAUUUUAAAAAAUUGAAGAUUCAAUAAAAGUUGGAUAGAGUAAUGACUUGUAGAAAUGAUAAUGUUAUUUUUGUAAGAUUAAUUUAUUUUUGUUUAAAAAUAAAAAUAAAAAAAAUUGGUAUUUUUUCUUUUAUUCUUUUUGGUGAAAAUAUUAUUUUUCAAUAAAAAGUUAUUCCUUUAUUUGUUGAGUCACACAUACUACUUUAUUAAAUGGAAAAAUGUGACAGAUAAAUAAUAUUGUAGAUAAAAGUAUGGGAAAAUGUGAUGGACAUAUACUACUUUAGAGAAAAGUAGUAGUCUUUUAUAAUAAAUAUUAAGACAUCGUUAUAAAUGAGUGUUGGUUUUUUUAGUGAGUUAAGUUUUAUUUUAAGUUUUGUAAACAACUAAAAUCAGUCGCUAUAAUCGGUCACUAAUUUCGGUCACUAAAUGUUAGCGACUAGAACUUUUCGUACUGAAAAUUGGGGGUCACAUUAUUGGUUGCUAACGUAGUAAUUGGUUUUUAGAAUUUUAGGUCUCUAAGUACGUCACUAAGCAUAAAGUUUUUAGUACUGAAGUAAACAAUUAACAUCUAUUAGAAUGUAUUUCAGGACGCUCUAAACAUGGUAAACUCCUAUUGAAAUUUCAAAUCCUACAUAUUCUCUAAUUAAUUUUAUAAUUUUAUUUAUUUAUUUGCACCGUAGAGAUUUUACAACAGUAGAAUGGGAAGAGCAACAAGAAUAACAUGUAUAAGGUUUAUUCCUAGAUCAGAUCAAUGAGAAACAGAGUUUUUCUAAACCUAUAAACCAGUUCGUAAUGAGUAUAAAACAUAAAAGUCAAUCCUUGCAAACCUUAUACAAAAAAAUCAAAAACAACAAAGAAAUAAACUAGGAGGAAUGAAAGAAAAAACUAUCAGCGACAACACACGCGGAGGAGAGCUAUUGUGUGAUACGAAUCGGACGGUUGAGAUCCAACGAUGCAAGUGUGGUGGUUUGGUUAAAGUUGGAGGCGCAACUGUUGUAGUUUUUUGGCGAGUUUCUAAGAUAAUUUACUAGAUCUGACAAAACAAAAUGAACCCAAACCUAAUCUACGUCACUCAGAUCUAGUGGUGUAAAAUGCAUAUGGAAUGGAAAAGUCAGCGACAAAGAAGAAGAAACUUGAAGAAGAAUGAAUGAUGGCGUUGAAAAGGUGGUUGGAACUGCGAUAGCAAUCAACGACAUUGAUGGUCCAGACAAUUCGAUCGAUGAAACUUUCAGAAGAUGUUAAAUUCAUGUUGUGAGAAUGAGAUAUUCCAAAAACACACAAAAAAAACACUUAUCUGACUUAUCAAUUUUUUUUGUUAAUUUUUGAAAAUGAUUUUUUUAUUAAAUUUAUGGCAUACCAUAUUAAUUAAGUUUAAUAGCCAAUAAAAUUAUAAAAUAAUAUAAUUAAAGUAUAAUCUAAAAUAGUUAAAUAUAAAUUUAAAAAAAAUGAAGAUUGAGAAAAAGUUGGAUAUAAAACAGAUUAACACAUGGUAAUGACUUUGUAGAAAAUAUAGAGUUAUUUUUGUAAGAUUAAUUUUUUUGUUUAAAAUUAAAAAAAAAAUUGUUAUAAUUUCUUUUUUUUCUUUUUUGUGAAAUAUUAUUUUUUUUAUAAAAAAAUAUUAAUUUAUUUGUUGAGUCACACAUACUACUUUAUUCAAUGGAAAAAUGUGAUGGACAAAUACUAUUGUUAGUAAAAGUAUGGAAAAAUGUGACGGAGAAAUACUACUUUAGAGAAAAGUAGUGUUUAACCGUAAAUAUUAAGACAUCAUUAAUGUUGGUUUUUUUAGUGAGUUAGGUUUUAUUUUAAGUUUUGUAAAUAACUAAACUCGGUCACUAAUUUCGGUUACUAAAUACGUCAUUAAAGGUUAACGACUAAUAUUUUUCCGAUUGAAAAUUGGUGGUCACGUUAUUGGUUGCUAAACGUUAUAGUGAUUGAUUUUAGACUUUUAGGUCUCUAAUUACGUUACUAAACACAAACUUUUUAACAGUGAAGUCAUCAAUUAACAUCUAUUAGAAUGUAUUUUAGGACGCUCAAAACAUGGUAAGCUCCUAUUGAAAUUUCAAAUCUUACAUAUUCUUAAAUUUAUUUUACAAUUUUAUUGAUUUGUUUCCACUGUAGAGAUUGUGAAAUAAUCGAAUGGCAAGAACAACAAUAUCACAUCUAUGUUCUAUUCUUAGAUCAGAUCAAUAAGAAAUCGAGUUUUUCUAAACCUAAAAACCAGUUUAUAAUUAGUAUAAAACAUAAAAGUCAAUCCUUGCAAACCUUUAUAAAACAAACAAAAUAAAAAAACAACCAAGAAAUAAACAAUGAGGAAUGAAAGAAAAAGCUAUUGGCGGCGGCACACGUGGAGGAGAGCGAUUGUGUGAUGCAAAUCAGACGGUUGAGAUCGACGACGCGAGUGUGGUGGUUUGGUUGAAGGUGAAGGCAUGACUGUUAUAGUUUUCAGGUGAGUUUCUAAGAUAAUUUACUAGAUCAGAUCUAGUGGUGUAAAGUGCAUAUGGAAAGGAAAAGUCGACGGAAAAGAAGAAGAAACCUAAAGAAGAAUGAAUGAUGUAGGUGAAAAGGUGGUCGAAACUGCGGUAGUAAUCAACGGCCUUGAUGGUCCAGCCGAUUCGGUUGAUGAAACUUUCAGAAGAUGUUAAGUUUAUGUUCAAUUGAUUUGGAAUAAAAAUGAAAUUUUGAGAAUGAGAUAUUCCAAAAGACACAAAAACUCUUAUUUAUGGCAUACCAUAUUGAUUAAGUUUAGUAGCUAAUAAAAUUAGAAAGAAAUAUAAUUAAAGUAUAAUCUAAAAUAGUUAAAUAUAAAUUUAUAAAAAAAAUGAAGAUUGAGUAAAACUUGGAUAUAAAAUUUAUUAAUACAGAGUAAUGACUUUGUAGAAAAGAUAAAGUUAUUUAUGUAAGAUUAAUCUUUUCGUUUAAAAAAACAUAUUUUUUGAUAUAAUUCCUUUUUAUCUUUUUGGUGAAAAUAUUUUUUUUUAAUAAAGAAUUAUUAAUUUAUUUGUUGAUUCACACGUACUACUUUAUAAAAUGGAAAUAUGUGAAGGACAUAUACUAAUGUAAGUAAAAGUGUGGGAAAAUGUGAUGGACAAAUACUACUUUAGAGAAAAGUAAUAUUCAAUAAUAAAUAUUAAGACAUCAUUAUAAAUGAGUGUUGGUUUUAUUAGUGAGUUAAUUUUUAUUUUAAGCUUUGUAAACAACUAAAAUCGAUCGCUAUAAUCGGUCACUAAUUUCGGUUACUAAAUACAUUACUAAAGAUUAGCGACUAGUACUUUUCCAACUGAAAAUUGAUGGUCAUGUUAUUGGUUGCUAAACGUUAUAGUGACUGAUUUUUAGAUGUUUGGGUAUCUAAUUAUGUCACUAAACACAAACUUUUUAGAAGGGAAGUCAACAAUUAACAUCGCAACAACAAUAUCACAUCUCUGUUUUAUUCUUAAAUCAAAUUAAUGAAAAAUAGAGUUUUUCUAAACCUAUAAACUAGUUCAUAAUAAGUAUAAAACAGAAAAGUCAAUCCUUACACACCUUUAUUAAACAAGUAAAAUAAAAAACAACAAAGAAAUAAACGAGGAAUGAAAUAAAAAGCUAUUGGCGACGAUGCACACGGAGGAGAGUGAUUGUGUCAUUCGAAUUAGACGGUUAUGGUCCCACCACGCGAGUGUGAUGGUUUGGUUGAAGGUGGAGACGCGACUUUUGUAAUUUUCUAGAAAAUUUCUAAAAUAAUUUACUAGAUCUGACAAAACAAAACGAAACACAUCCUAAUCUACGUCACUCGGAUCUAGUGGUGUAAAGUGCAUAUGAAAGUAGAUGGAUAAGAAGAAGAAGAAUGAAUGAUGGCAGUGAAAAGUUGGUUGGAACUACUAUAGCAAUCAACGACGUUAAUGGUCCAGACGAUUCGUUCCAUGAAUCUUUUAGAAGAUGAUAAGUUUACCUUGAAUUGAAAUGGAAUGAAAAUGAAAUCUUGAGAAUGAGAUCUUCCAAAAAAAAAAAAACUCUUAUUUGACUUAUCUAUUUUUUUUGUUAAUUUAUGAAAAUGAUUUUUUAUUAAAUUUAUGGCAUACCAUAUUGAUUAAGUUUAAUAGCUAAUAAAAUAAGAAAAUAAUAUAAUUAAAGUAUAAUCUAAAAUAAUUAAAUUUAAAUUUAAAAUAAAUGAAAAUUGGGUUAAAGUUGCAUAUAAAACAGAUUAAUUCAAAGAAAUAACUUUGUAAAAAGGAUAAAGUUAUUUUUGUUAGAUUAACUUUUUUGUUUAAAAUUAAAAAAAAAAAAAAAUUUUAUUAUAGUUUGUUUUUUUCUUUUUGGUGAAAAUAUUAUUUUUAAUAAAAAAUUAUUAAGUUAUUUGUUGAGUCACCACAUACUACUUUAUUAAAUGAAAAAAGUGAUUGACAAAUAGUAUUGUAGGUAAAGUAUGGGAAAAUGUGAGGGACAAAUAUUACUUUAGAUAAAAUUAAUAUUUAAAAUAAAUAUUAAGAUAUCAUUAUAAAUGAGUGUUGGAUUGUUUAGUGAGUUAAGUUUUAUUUUGUAGAACAAUAAAAAUUUACCACUCAAAUAUUGAUGCUUAAGUAUCUGUCAAAUUCAAAUUACAUAUAAGUAUAUGAGAAAAUAUAUUAUUUAUUGUUCUAAUUAAUAAAGUUUAAUUUAAAAUAACUAAUAAUAUUGUAAAACUUAAUGAUACAUAAACAUUAUUUUUGAAGUGUCUCUACCAAACAAACAAUAUUGACAAUAUAUACUAUGUUUUGAGAUCCAUAAAAGAGGUUAUCAUGGGUUAUCAAAAACUAAUAUCUAUAAUUAUACACGAUUUUAUUUUAUUUUAUUUUUUAUAAUCAUAGAUGUUUAACAAUUCUAUCCUAAUUAAAUUUUAUGUUAUAUUUUUAUUUGUAGUUUUUUUUAAUUAUUGAUGUAUCACCUACUCAAAAUAAUAGUUUGAUGGAUAAUUGGAUCCACGUUUUUCAAUUUAAGCGAAUAAAUUAUUUAUUUUUAAAUGGAUAAUUGGAUCCAUGUUUUUCGAUUUAUAUUUUUCUAAGAUUAUAUUUUUCUAUUUAUAUUUAUGUAUAGAAUUAUAUUUUUCUAAGAACAGUGAGAAAUCAUGACAAUAUUAUUUAAUUUCACUAUAAUAUUUAUUUUUCAACUUAUUUUGUUGUUGUUGAAAUAAAAAUAAUUGUGGUGUUUGUAUGCACACUUAUACAAACACUCUAGAAAUCACAAUUAUAAAACAUUGAACUAUUUAUGACAGCAACAAUAAUUCUUUUUACACUCGCCAUGUAGAGAAUUUGGAUACAAUGAACAAGCGUAUAAACACGCUCGAAAAUUACACUCGAACCCUGAUCCUGCUGCCUUCCAACAACAUUGGUCUUCACAUUUAUCAGGAGGGGAUAAAAAAUCAAUGGGAAAGUUUAUAGAACUACUGUCACCUGAUCCCAAGACUACAACAAUGCAUAGAAUUGCAAAGGUGUAAUUGAGAGUGUUAAUGGGAGUAGCCAUUUAUUUCUACGUUCAAAGAUAAACAAUCAACACCUUGAAAUAUUUAAAGAAAGAGAAUGUCACUAUUUUACUCCCUCGAGUCCUAUUUAUAUUAGAUAAUUUAUUAUUUAAAUUUAUUGAAUAUUCAAUGUAUUUGGCAAUAAACCAGAUUCAU
rnacentral:lncRNA from 1 species